rnacentral:lncRNA from 1 species
GGGUUCCUUCUCCCCCUCCAGUGCGCCGCCACCUUCCCCAUCUCUCCUCCUCCCUUCAGGUAGGCUGCUGUAGACAGUAGCAGAGAGAAGCAGAGAAGGUGCCCACGUCUACCCCGAGUCCGCCAUGUCCAGGAGCUCGGGGUUCGACCCCGCGUCCAUUCCCGUCGUCGGUAGGGUCGGGGAGCGACCACACCGACGAGCUCGACCUCGUCAGCGCCUCGGCCCCGGUGCACUUCGUCACUGCUUUGGUCUACGGCAGGAUCUCCCUCCGCACGUGCUCUUCCUCUACAGGCGGCUCCUCCUUCCCGUACGGCGCCCCCUCUUCUUCCCUAGGUGAGGAGGUCGCCCCCCUCCUUCUUCCUCCCUGGUUCGCCCUAGAUCCGAGUGGGGUCUUCGUGUUCCUCUGUGUGCUGUUCGUCAGAGCCAUGGAAGUCGCGUGAGUCUCUCUGUCUCGAGCAGCAGCAGGAGAUCGGGCUGUACGAGUGUGGUGUUCGUGGUGCAUGCAGUAGCAGUAGCAGUAGGAUGAGCUCCCGCGUCACAGCNNNNNNNNNNGGUUCGACCCCGCGUUCCAUUCCCGUCGUCGGUAGGGUCGGGGAGCGACCACAUCGACGAGCUCGACCUCGUCAGCGCCUUGGCCCCGGUGCACUUCGUCACUGCUUCGGUCUUCGGCAGGAUCUCCCUCGGCACAUCCUCUUCCUCUCCAGGCGGCUCCUCCUUCCCGUAUGGCGCCCCCUCUUCUUCCCUAGGUGAGGACGUCGCCCCCCCUCCUUCUUCCCCCCUGGUUCUCCCUAGAUCCGAGUGGGUUCUUCGUGUUCCUCUCUGUGCUGUUCGUCAGAGCCAUGGAAGUCGCGUGAGUGCUCUCUGUCUCGAGCAGCAGCAGGAGAUCGGGCUGUAAGAGUGUGGUGUUCAUGGUGCAUGCAGUAGCAGUAGCAGUAGGAUGAGCUCCCGCGUCACAGCACAGCAGCAGCAGCAGCGUUCUGCUCGGCGCCUUCUCUGUUGCCGGCGAGCAGCAGCUCACGCGCAGGUGCAGAGCAAACCUGACGGGGGUGUUAGCUUACCUGUUUCAGACCUCCUCCUCUGUCAGUUAUCCCUUUCAUAGUGCAGUGGUAGUGAGUCCCGUGGUUUACCGAGAGGUGCAGGGAUCGAGUCCAAGUGGUGCACCUCCACCUUUUUUUGGGUUUUUCUUGCCUCUGGGGAUACCAGCAGCAGAGAGGUUAUCUCGCCAUGUAACCCUCCUUUNNNNNNNNNNCUCAGUUAUCCCUUUCAUAGCGCAGUGGUAGUGCGUCCCGUGGUUUACCGAGAGGUGCAGGGAUCGAGUCCCAAGUGGUGCACCUCCACCUUUUUUUGGGUUUUUCUUGCCUUUGGGGAUACCAGCAGCAGAGAGGUUAUCUCGCCAUGUAACCCUCCUUUGUCGAGUGCAUAGUGAUCAGUGGAGUGGUAGUGGUGCUCUGGGUUACCACAGGGAGUACUGGGAUCGAAUCCCAAGAAGUUUCUUUUUUUUCAUUUUUUUUGUUUUCUCUUUGCGGCUAUAUUGAUUCAUCUUUGCUUUUUAGUUCCUGUUAUAUCCAUAGAUGGCUUGGCAAUUUUUUUUCCAUCCUAUGCUGCAAUAAGAGGUGCCAUACCAGGUUUGNNNNNNNNNNGAGGGAGUACUGGGAUCGAAUCCGAGGAAGUUUCUUUUUUUCAUUUUUUUUGUUUUCUCUUUGCUGCUAUAUUGAUUCAUCUUUGCUUUGUAGUUCCUGUUAUAUCCAUAGAUGGCUUGGCAUUUUUUUUCCAUCCUAUGCUGCAAUAAGAGGUGCCAUACCAGGUUUGCAUGUGUGUGUUCAUAUGAGUAGAGCAUACAUGUUGUGUGUGUGAGGACAUACAUAUGGGUUUAGUGGCUCUAGAUUGUGUGUAUGGAGGUACUUCCUAGAAGUUGAUCCUAAUAUAUGAUAGCAAGUGUAGUGGUAACAUGUGUAGGUACUUCUUUGUUGUNNNNNNNNNNUGCACUAGAUUGUGUGUAUGGUGGUACUUCCUAGAAGUUGAUCCUAAGAUAUGAUAGCAAGUGUAGUGGUAACAUGUGUAGGUACUUCUUUGUUGUAGGUGCUUGCAUUUGAUGUUGCACUAGGUGGUGUGUAUAAGUAUAGUAGUUCUUGUUCUAGUGAUGGUUGCUUUGAUUACAUGAGUAAGUGUGUGGAUUUCAUCUCGAGCAUGAUGUGUUUGUGAGUGUGCGUGCCAUAGAUACUUGUGAGUGUGUGUGUGUGAGUGCUAGUGCUAGUGUAGAUGCAAGCACAAGUGAGUGGAGUUGUGGUGCAUUGUGCACUUGGUGNNNNNNNNNNAAGUAAGUGUGUGGAUUUGAUCUCGAGCAUGAUGUGUUUGUGAGUGUGUGUGCCCUAGAUACUUGUGAGUGUGUGUGUGUGAGUGCUAGUGCUAGUGCAGAUGCAAGCACAAGUGAGUGGAGUUGUGGUGCAUUGUGCACUUGGUGUGUGCAAGUGUUGGCACCUUCAUUUGUGCAAGAAGGAAGCCCUCAUGUGCACCUAGAUGAGGUUGUGGUGAGGAUAUGCGUGUGGAUGGCAGCCCCACUUUGCAAUACUUGUUCUCCUCCUCAUGUUUAAUAUGAGAGAGAGCAUGUUGUGUGUGUGGGGUUGGCUUGUGAUAAGCAUUGGAGUUGUUGAUGUGCAUGACACAAACAUGGGGUUCAAACCCCCAUGUCACUUUGUCAUUGUGCACAUGAACUCAUCCUAUGUAGUUGUUUUGAACCUGGUAUGUUUGUGAAGCUUCCUAUCAAUUUUCAAGUCAUUUCGAGUCCAGUAGCUUGUGUUUUGAUUGCUGUCAAAAAGCUUCAGAACAGANNNNNNNNNNNNNNNNNNNNNNNNNNNNNNNNNNNNNNNNNNNNNNNNNNNNNNNNNNNNNNNNNNNNNNNNNNNNNNNNNNNNNNNNNNNNNNNNNNNNGUUCUAGUUUAUUGUUGCAUUUUGUGGUGCUGCUGUUCAUUGGCUGUUAUUCUUGUGUUGGGUAGCACCGGGAGCGGAGAACGAAUACGUGGAGUCAGGAGAGUACAUGCAGGACGAUCCAGAACCAUUCCAAGCUGAGGAUAUCACAGGCAAAAUGAUAUGACCUUGAUCCCAUCUCUAGACUUGUUAUGUUAGUUUCGAUUCCACGUGAUAUUGUUCGCUGCCAACCACUGAAAAUAUAUUGCCUCUUCAUAUGCCAUGAGCUUAAACACCUNNNNNNNNNNUAGAAGACUACGCGCAGGACGAUCCAUAACCAUUCCAAGCUGAGGAUAUCACAGGCAAGAUGAUAUGACCUUGAUCCCAUCUCUAGACUUGUCAUGUUAGUUUCGAUUCCACGUCAUAUUGUUCGCUGCCUACCACUGAAAAUAUAUUGCCUCUUCAUAUGCCAUGAGCUUAAACACCUUACUCUUUCCUAGCAAACUUGCAUGGCUAGGUAGGCUUGCUCAGUUACUAAUGUUAGCGUUGUUAGCUGCAGGUGCCUUAACUCAUGUGAGGACAUGAGCUUGAUAUCAUUAUAGUAAUUUCUGUUAUUUAAUUAAGGUAUCUAUAUACUUGGUAAAUGACGGGAGGCCUAGCUUUUUGCCGGGUGUCUUGUUCCGUUAUUGCCGCCCUAUUUACCGGUUACCGGUGUUUGAUUCCAUAAUGAUCGCUACUAACACGUUCGGGGUUGUUAUGGGGACCCCCUUGAUAAAUCGCGUAGUGCUAAGGCUUNNNNNNNNNNNNNNNNNNNNNNNNNNNNNNNNNNNNNNNNNNNNNNNNNNNNNNNNNNNNNNNNNNNNNNNNNNNNNNNNNNNNNNNNNNNNNNNNNNNNNNNNNNNNNNNNNNNNNNNNNNNNNNNNNNNNNNNNNNNNNNNNNNNNNNNNNNNNNNNNNNNNNNNNNNNNNNNNNNNNNNNNNNNNNNNNNNNNNNNNNNNNNNNNNNNGGUCACCCGGAGGUUUAGCCAUCCCGACGUCUAGCUCAUCUGUCGUGUCCUGAGACUGAGAUAGGCGGCUCUUAUCAGGGUCGUCGACACGACGGGAGGUCCUGCUGGUCGUGUCUUACCUUAGUGGUAUAUAUUGCGUAUAGGAAUCCCAGUGAAGCUUUAGUUUUCCCCAGAGUUGAGGUUUUCCUCUAAGGAAUCCGACGAUAUCACGAGAUUCGUGAUAGAGGAUGCCUUUGCGGCAUGUGUUCUUUUGUGAUGGACUAGUUCGAGCACCCCUGCAGGGUUUAAUCUUUUGGAAAGUUGUGCCCGCGGUUAUGUGGCAACUUGGAAUAUUUUGUUAACAUCCGGGAUUAGAGAACUUAAACAUAAACUAAUAAAAUAUGCCAACUGUGUGCGUAACCGUGACUGCCCCUUCGAAGAUNNNNNNNNNNNNNNNNNNNNNNNNNNNNNNNNNNNNNNNNNNNNNNNNNNNNNNNNNNNNNNNNNNNNNNNNNNNNNNNNNNNNNNNNNNNNNNNNNNNNUUCCGUGUGACAGAGAGGUAUCUCCGGGCCCACUCGGUAAUACAACAUCACACACAAGCCUUGCAAGCAAUGUGACUUAGUGUAAGUUGCGGGAUCUUGUAUUACGGAACGAGUAAAGAGACUUGCCGGUAAACGAGAUUGAAAUAGGUAUGCGGAUACUGACGAUCGAAUCUCGGGCAAGUAACAUACCGAAGGACAAAGGGAAUGACAUACGGGAUUAUAUGAAUCCUUGGCACUUAGGUUCAAACGAUAAGAUCUUCGUAGAAUAUGUAGGAUCCAAUAUGGGCAUCCAGGUCCCGCUAUUGGAUAUUGACCGAGGAGUCUCUCGGUUCAUGUCUACAUAGUUCUCGAACCCGCAGGGUCUGCACACUUAAGGUUCGACGUUGUUUUAUGCGUAUUUGAGUUAUAUGGUUGGUUACGGAAUGUUGUUCGGAGUCCCGCAUGAAUUCACGGACGUCACGAGGGUUUCCGGAAUGGUCCGGAAAUGAAGAUUGAUAUAUAGGAUGACCUCAUUUUAUUACCGGAAGGUUUUCGGAGUUACCGGGAAUGUACCGGGAAUGACGAAUGUGUUCCGAGAGUUCACCGUGGGGGGCAACCCACCCCGGGGAAGCCCGUAGGCCUUGGGGGUGGCACACCAGCCCUUAGUGGGCUGGUGGGACAGCCCAAAAGAGCUCUAUGCGCCAUAGGAAGAAAAAUCAAAGAGAAAAGAAAAAAAAGAGGAGGUGGGAAAAGGGAGAAGGACUCCACCUUCCAAACCAAGUGGGACUCGGUUUGGGGGGGGGGAGACAUUCCCCCCUUGGCUCGGCCGAAACCCUUAGGGGUCCUUGGACCCCAAGGCAAGGCUCCCCCUNNNNNNNNNNNNNNNNNNNNNNNNNNNNNNNNNNNNNNNNNNNNNNNNNNNNNNNNNNNNNNNNNNNNNNNNNNNNNNNNNNNNNNNNNNNNNNNNNNNNGAGUGCAACACAGACGUUGAGGACCUACAGANNNNNNNNNNCAAGCUCUACCCAGAAGGAGUUGUUGCAUCUUCGACAACGCGCUUACUCCUGCCGACAAAGCUACAGGGGCGAAGAAGAACAAGAGUACCGACAAGACCUCCAGCAAGGACUCCAAGAAGUGGUCUAGGGAGUGCAACACAGACGUUGAGGACCUACAGAGGGUUCUGCCGCCACGAGUAAGAAAUCUAAAGUGGUGACCCCCAAGACGAAGUAGUUUGCUGCGAAGGAGGAUGGCUUGAGCAACACUUUCACCAUAAGUGUCACCCUUGAUGACAAAUAGGAAAGUGCACUCAUCUCCUUCUUGUGGGCGAAUAUAGAUAUGUUUCCCUCACAACCAUUUGACAUCCCUGGUGUUCCUAGGGAUGUUAUACAACACCACCUUGUCGUUUGUCCUCACUCUUGCCCCAUGAAUAAGAAGGUCAGGAAGCAAGAUUUAGAGCGACAAGAGUUCAUUGACAAGGAAAUAAAGACACUAGAAGCAACAAGCUUGAUCACACGUGUGAUCGACCCAACCUUGUUAGAAAAUCCAGUUUUAGCGUGGAAGAAAAAUAGAAAGUGGAGACUUUGUAUUGAUUUUACCGGCAUAAAUAAAGCUUGUCCGAAAGAUCCCUUUCCACUGCCGGCUGCGACCUCCUAUCCUUCCUUGAUGUUUACUCUAGUUAGCAUCAUAUUUUCAUGGCCAAGGAAGGCGAGGAGAANNNNNNNNNNAUUGUCCGAAAGAUCCCUUUCCACUGCCGGCUGCAACCUCCUAUCCUGCCGGCUUACUCUAGUUAGCAUCAUAUUUUCAUGGCCAAGGAAGGCGAGGAGAAAACAACCUUUAUUACUCCAAGUGGCACAUACUGCUUUAGGCAUAUGCCUUUUGGACCAAAAAUUGUUGGUUCAACAUUUACAAGGGCCAUCCAAAUUGGUUUUGAAUCCCAACUCCAGAGAAAUGUGGAAGGGUAUAUAGAUGAUAUAGUGGUCAAGACCGAGGACAAAGACAAACUAAUUCAAAAUCUUUAAGAGACAUUUGCAAAAUUUAGCAAGAUCAAUUGGAAGCUCAAUCCCUAGGAGUGUGUGUUUUCCAUUCCGUCCAGCAAACUUCUUGGUUUCUUUGUUUCUCAACGUGGAAUUGAAGCUAACCCCAUCAAGAUUGGAGCAAUCGAGCAUUUGGAGGCCCCAAAGCGCGUCAAGGAUGUGUGCCGAUUGGAGGGUUGUAUUACNNNNNNNNNNAAAGAUCAAUUGGAAGCUCAAUCCUGAGGAGUGUGUGUUUUCCAUUCCGUCCAGAAAACUUCUUGGUUUCUUGGUUUCUCAACGUGGAAUUGAAACUAACCCCACCAAGAUCGGAGCAAUCGAGUAUUUGGAGGGCCCCAAAGCGCGUCAAGGAUGUGUGCCGAUUGGAGGGUUGUAUUACUGCUUUGAGCAUGUUUAUUUCUAAGUCUGUUGAGCACGCCCUAUUGUUUUUCAAGAUUUCAAAACGGCACUCCAAAGAAAUGGACUCUGUGAGCGGAGGAUGUGCUGCAGGACCUGAAAAACUACCUAUCCUACAUGCCAGUACUAGUUGCACCUAUGUUGCAAGAGACAUUGUUGUUAUAUUUGGGGGCAACCAAUCUACGGGUUUGUAUUGCGCUAGUGGCGAAGAGGGAAGCUGGUGAUGAAGCGGCAACAACCCCAAAACAGGUGAACAGCAAGCCAAACUCAAGGUGCCGCCAACGCAAAUACAAUGCAAGAAGCAACCCAGCAAGUUGUACAGAUGAAGAAAUAGUGCAGCGCCCAGUUUUAUUUCAUCAGCUCCCUUCUUUAGGGAGGUAGGUCAAAAUAUUCUGGGGGGCAAAAGUUGCUCUUUGGCCUCCUCAUGACCUCCCAAAAGUUGUGCUACUACUUCCAAGCACACCACAUUACUGUCGUCACUUGCUUUCCCUUCUAAGGCAUAUUGUGCAAAUCGGAAUGUACUGGCAGGAUAUUAAAGUGGGCUUUGGAGAUGGCUAGUUUUGAUUUGAGUUUUCAAAGCACAACAACCAUUCAAUGAAGGGUGUUGGUAGAGUUCAUUGCAUAAUGCACACCAAUGCAAGACGAUGACAUACAAGAAAUAGUCCUCCGCAGGAAGGAAGCACCACAGAAAUGGAUCGUGUACUUCGAUGGAGCUUUUCCGCUCCAAAGCACCAGUGUCGGCAUCUUGCUUAUCGCACCCAUCGGAGAGCACCAUAAGUAUGUGAUCCAGAUGCACUUUACUAGUGAGGUAUCGACAAACAACACUAUAGAGUAUGAAGGAUUGCUUACUGGCCUACGGAUUGUUGUUGAUCUUGGCAUCAGAAAGUUUAUGAUCCGAGGAGACUCAUAGGUUGUCAUGCAUUAACUAAACUAAGAUUACCACAUCCCUUUGUUGGAAGCAUAUGUUGAUGAAUUAAGGAAGUUGGAAGAGACUUUGAUGGUUUACAGACAAAGCAUGUUCCUCGUCCGGAAAACAACAUCGCAGAUGACCUAUCAAAACAUGUUGCUAAAAAGCUACCUAUGGAACAAAGGAGUUUUGUCCUCCAAUUGACUCAACCAUAUAUGACACCAUCAAUACGAAAAUUCAAGAAGAGUAAGACUAAUUCGAGUGACUAUUCUCCGGCAAAGCUACCACCCGCCGCCAGAAAACUUGUCAGAAGCAACACAUUGAUACUUGUAAAAUGUGUUGGGAGUUUCCCCAAAGAGGUGAAGAGAUGCAACAGAGUAGAUAAACUAGUGAUAUCCAAGGUUAUCGAACCAAUAGGAGAACCACACAAAUUCUCAUCGUGGACACCUACAUAGAAAAGUAGAAACACUUGCACCAAACAUAGGCAAGAGGGAUGUCAAGCCCCUUGAACUCGUUACAUGCAAGUAUUCAGUAGUGAUAUAUAGAUAAUACAAAUAUAAAAUAAAAUAAUGGUAGAUAAAUAGUUGUGAAGUACUCCCUCUGUAAACUAAUAUAAGAGCAUUUACAACACUACUAUAGUAAUCUAAACGCUCUUAUAUUAGUUUGAGGGAGUAUAUAUUAAUGACAUUUAUCGUAUAUAUAGGCAUCACGUCCNNNNNNNNNNACCCUUGAACUCGUUACAUGCAAGUAUUAAGUAGUGAUAUAUAGAUAAUACAAAUAUAAAAUAAAAUAACGGUAGAUAAAUGGCAGCAAUCGUUUUCGGAUUUUUAUAAUAUAUUUUGUAAAGACCCGGGGGACAUAAUUUUUGCUAGAGGAUUCUCUCUCGAAGAAACCAUACAGUGGGUGAACAAAUUACUUUUAGGAAUUGAUAGAAUAGCACAUAGUUAUGAAGUACUCCCUCUGUAAACUAAUAUAAGAGCAUUUAGAACACUACUUUAGUAAUCUAAACGCUCUGAUAUUAGUUUAAGGGAGUAUAUAUUAAUGACAUUUAUCGUAUAUAUAGGCAUCACGUCCAUAACCAAGUAGACCGACUCUUGCCUUCAUCUAUGAUUAUUUCUCCGCUCAUCGACUGCUAUCCAACAUGCAUCUGGAGUAUUAAGUAUGAUACAGAUUAAUGCUUGCAUCAAGAUGACAUGAUGUACACAAAGUAAACUCAACUAAUAUGAAUAAACCCCAUCUUUUAUCCUUAAUGUCACAAAUAUAAAUAUGUGUCAUGUACCCUCAUGUCACUAGAAUUGAACACCGCAAGAUUGAACCCAUCACAAUGCACCACUCGCACUAAUAAUAAAUUAACCUAGUUGGCCAAACCAAAUGGAUACAUCAAAGGGAAAUACAAAGCUAUCCUAAUUAUGCAUAUAAGAAACCAUGGAAGACUCAAUAUAUUUUCAUGAAUAAUCNNNNNNNNNNAAAUAAAUUAACCUAGUUGGCCAAACCAAAGGGAUACGUCAAAGGGAAAUACAAAGCUAUCCUAAUGAUGCAUAUAAGAAACCAUGGAAGACUCAAUAUAUUUUCAUGAAUAAUCUGAUCAUAAAGCCACAAUCUAUUGGAUUCCAACAAAAACACCGCAAAGAAGAUUACAAAGAAUCGAUCACCGCGGGAAUCACGGUGAACUUUGUAUUGAAGAUCAUAGAGAGAGAUGGCCAUCUAGGUACUAGUUAUGGACCCGUAAGUCUAUGGUAGACUAGUCACAGAUCACCAUGGAAGCAAAAAGUUGAUGUAGAGGCCCUCCAAGAUCGAUCCCCCCUCUGUUAGGGUACCAAAAUAGGGCUCCANNNNNNNNNNNNNNNNNNNNNNNNNNNNNNNNNNNNNNNNNNNNNNNNNNNNNNNNNNNNNNNNNNNNNNNNNNNNNNNNNNNNNUUUAUAGAGGCGGUAUUAGGUCAGGAGGCACCGGGAGGGGUCCAAAGCCAUCAGGAUGCGACCACCUCCUGGGUGCGCACUAUUGGCUUGGCACCACCCCGUGUGGCGUCUCGUCUCCCUACGAAUCUUCCAGGUCUUAUUUUUGUCCAGAAUAAAUUGUUAAAAUUUUCUUUGCACUUCGACUUCGUUUGGUAAUCAUUUCCUUACAAACCCANNNNNNNNNNGAUGGGAUGAUGACUGAACAGGGACUUGCAACAGAGAAAAAAGUGUUUCAGGUGGCUCUCCGAUGUUUUCCCAAUUUUACAAUANNNNNNNNNNNNNNNNNNNNNNNNNNNNNNNNNNNNNNNNNNNNNNNNNNNNNNNNNNNNNNNNNNNNNNNNNNNNNNNNNNNNNNNNNNNNNNNNNNNNACAUGGGCUUGUGUCAAAGGGAAGAUCUCAUACAACCCAUGGAGUUUGACGUCAAAUUGUGAUCAUCAUCAAUGGUUGAUCAAGAUCUCAGACAAAGAGUAAAUCAAGAUGAUCAACACACAAAGCGUACAAGAUGUACCGAGAGGGAUCAAGUGAUCCCAUGGUAUGGUAAGCAUUGUCCAUUACGUGUUUGUGUACUAACCCAUGGUCUUCGUGAGAGUUCUAUGUGGGGGUUAGGUGUGUUUCCACGGGCUUGCGUCAAAGGGAAAAUCUCAUAGAACCCAUGGAGUAUGACGUCAAGUUGUGAUCGUCAUCAAGAUUGCGAUGUGCAAGUUCAAGUGGAUCAGCAUGAAGAUAGCAUGCUUGAAGCUUGCCGUCCAUUGUGGUGGAAAUGGACUUGUGAAGAUAUGCUGAAGAGUGGCUCACCCAUAGUGAGUAUGGGGGAGCAAUCAACUAGUCUUCAUCAAGCCAACACAAUCAAGAAAGGUGGUCCAUCUUGAGGAAGCCAAGAUCAUCAUUAUCUAGCUCAAGAGGACGAGGUGCAUGGUAUAGGUUUGCCCUUGAUAGGUUUUCUGGUUAGGAUAGAUUGAUGUUCUAUCAAGGGGGGCUCUCAAGUGAGUAGCUUGAUCGUAUCGUUCGUUGAGAGCUCAAACCAUUUGCAUCCUUGCAUCAUACUUCUUGGUUCUCGUUUGGUGUUUCUCUUUGUGAGUUUUAGAGCUUAUGGUCAUCUUCGUGACAAGCUCGAGUUCAUCGAAAACGGAGUCCAUAUGCAUCUACUGUUUGGAUAGCCCUUGUCGUCCUGAAUCCAACAAGCUUGGGUUUGCUCGAUUCGGAGCUCGUAUGCGAAAGUUAUGGCUGUUUCAGUGGCGAGCGGUAGUACCGCUGGACCUAGCGGUAGUACCGCUAGAGUUGGCGGUAGUACCGCUGGCCCAAGCGGUAGUACCGCUGGCUCGCGGUAGUACCGCACCUGGUCAGCAGUAGUACCGCUCCAGGAGCUUAGUACCGCCUGCCUAGCGGUUGUUCGUGGACGGACCUUUUUGCGAAGACUUUCUUGGUGGUGGUAGUGCCUUUGCACUACCAGGGGCCCAGUGGUAGUACCGCUGGGGCCAGCGGUAGUACCGCUGCAGCCAGCUGUAGUACCGCUAGCUGGCGGUAGUACUGCUGGAGUGACAGCGGUAGUACCACUGGAGUGCCAGCGGUAGUACCGCUGCAGCCAGCGGUAGUACCGCUGGAGCUCGGGCAGAGAGUGGGGGUAACGGUCUGAUUCUUUCCCCCACUAUAUAAAGGGGGUCUUCUUCCCCCUUGGCCUUAUCCAUCCGUUGAGCUCUUGUUCUACCUCCAUUGUUGACAUUCUUAGAGCUUGAUUACUCUCAAUCCCUCCAAUGAUUCUUGCUUGUUCUUGAGGGAAAAGAGAGAGGAGAUCUAGAUCCACAUCUCCACCAAUCACUUUCUCCUAUAUGUGAGGGGAACCCCUUGGAUCUUGAUCUUGGAGUUCUUUGUGAGCUCCUUGUUCUUCCUCUCAUAUUUCUCCAUAGCUUUUGUUGUUGUGGAGGGAUUUGAGUGUGAGGGACUUGACCACUUCGUGGUUUCUUGCCAUUGCAUUAGUUGCAUCGGUUUGAGUUCUCCACGGUGAUACGUGGAAGUGAGAAGUUGAGAAGCUUACUACCUUUGGUACUUAGUACCCUUGAUAUUGUUCUUCGUGGAUGCUUUGGCGUCCUAGAAGCUUGGUGGUGUCUCGGAGCUCAAUCAUUGUGGUGUGAAGCUCCGGGAAGCGUCGGGGGUCUCCAAUUAGGUUGUGGAGAUUGCCCCGAGCAAUUUGUAUGGGUACCGGUAACCGCCCCCAAGGGUUGCCACGUGUACGGGUUCGGUGACCGCCCCCAAGGGUUGCCAUUUGUACGGGUUCGGUGACCGCCCUCAAGGGUCCCUUAGUGGAAUCACGGCAUCUUGCAUUGUGCGAGGGAGUGAGGAGAUUACGGUGUCCUUAGUGGCAUCUUGGGGAGCAUUGUGCCUCCACACCGCUCUAACGGAGAUUAGCAUCCGCAAGGGUGUUAACUUCGGGAUACAUCAUCGUCUCCCCGUGCCUCGGUUAUCUCUUACCCGAACCCUUUACUUAUGCACUUUACUUUGUUAUAGACAUAUUGUUUAUUGUAAUAUAUCUUGCUAUCACUUAGUUGUUUAUCUUGCUUAGCAUAAGUUGUUGGUGCACAUAGGUGAGCCUAGUUGUUUGUAGGUUUUGUGCUUGACAUAUUAAACGUUAGUUUUAUUCCGCAUUUGUUCAAGCCUAAACCUUAACUAUUUUAAAGCGCCUAUUCACCCCCCCCACCUCUAGGCGACAUCCAUGUCCUUUUCAGAUAUAUACAUUGAUGUACUGUGUGUGCCAGCAUACGGAUCCAGGGAUGGCACAGAUACACAGAGGCUUGACUCAUCUUGAGUCGGGUCGCUACAAACAAAUAAUUUUUUGACUUAGCUACUUGACCUUGUUGGGUGUGAACCAUAAAGGCAUAUUUACCUAGACACUUCACAUCAUUAGCAAUUCUAAACAUCAAGUCACUCAAACGAUCUAUCGUCAUGGCAUUAUUCCCUUAAUUGAUUCUUAACAUAGUUAUUAAAGUGCUCUUGCUUCACAAUGUAAUUAUCAAAUUCAUCCAUGCAUUGCUCAUGAGUCUUAGCAUAAGGUAUAUCAUUCUCAUUAAAGGAACGGAGAGAGUUUACCUCUACUACUUGUGUCGGGAUAUCAAGUCCAUGUGUUUCUUCGACCUAUGGUAAUUUCUUAAUAUCCUCAAUUUUAAUACAUUUCUCCUUGAUAGCUCUCUUUGAUUCUUGCAUAUCUUUGGGGCUGAGAAAUAGAAUACCUCUCUUAUUUUGGAUAGGCUCACGUUGUGGUUCAGGGUAUGCCCAAUCAUCACCAUUUUGUGUCAUUUUAUUUAAGAGCUUUUUGGCUUGUUCAAUGGUUCUUUCCCUGAAAACACAACCAGCACAACUAUCUAGGAAAUCCCUAGAAGGGUUUGUUAGUCCAUAAUACAAGAUAUCGAGAAUUUCAUUUUUCUUAAGAGGACAAUCAGGAAAACCUCUUAGUAACUGAAAAAUCCUUCCCCAAGCUUGAGGGAGAUUCUUUUGUUUAAUUUGAGCAAAGUUAAAUAUUUACUGUAAGGAAACUUGUUUCUUAUGACCAGGAAAAUAUUUUUCAAGGAAGUGAUAAAGCAUAUCUUGCGCACUACUCAUACAACUAAGAGCAGGAGAUAGGAACCAUUCCUGGGCCUCACCUUUCCGUGAGAAAGGAAAAAGCUUAAGGAUAUAACAACAUUACUUUCAACAUUGGUUAACAACACAACAAGAUCAUUCAGUUUCAUAAGGUGUUCUACCAUAGUUUCAUUUUUGUAGCCAUGGAAAUUAUUAGACUCCACUAUAGGAAUCAGUUUAUGGUCUAUAGCACAUUCAUAGUCCUUAUUAGUGACAAGUAUUGAAGAAGUAACAAAUUUAGGAUCAUAUUUCAUUUUCUCCAUCACGGGUUUUUCCUUUAGUUUGCCUAGUAAUUUAUUCAAAUAAUCUCUAUCAUUACAAGCUAGAAAGUCCCUACCUACUUCACCAACCAUAACAUAACCUUCAGGUACAUAAGGCAAUUCAUAUCUAUUUGGAGGACGGGAUGUAGCAAAUGGUUCAAAGUCUUCAUCAGUUUCAGUAUUUUCAAGUUCACUCGCUCUAGCAAUAUGGGCAUCAAGUAAUUCAUUCAGUGGCACUGUUUCAGUUUGAUCAUGUGUAGAAAUAAUAUCAUCAUUAAAUUCAUAAGUAGCAUCAUAAAAUUCAAGUGGCAUAUGUGGUCAAGCAACACGUGGCGUUGCAACAAGCUGAUUCAAAACGGUAAGUGAAUCAAAAGCAGAGCUAGAUGUCAGUUCCUUACAUCCUCUCGUGCGAGAUGGGACGAUCUUGGUUCCAUUACCUUUCAGAUUCUUCAUAAUGGCAAUUGGAUAUCCUCAAGUCAACACAAUUAAUAGAUCUAUGCUCCCCACAACGGCGCCAGAAAAUGGUCUUGAUAACCCACAAGUAUUGGGGAUCAUGACAAUCUUCACGAGUAUUAUUUCAACCUAAUUUAUCGAUUCGACACAAGGGGGAUUCGUCGAUGUCGUCAUCACCGACCCUUCUCCAUCAACAGCACCAUGAUGCUUACCACCGGGAGUUUGUACUUCCUUUGCAGCCUUGCUGGACAGUGGUGGGAUUGGAUGAGAUUGAUCAUGUCAUCUAGUUAAGUUUGAUAGUGCUUGAUUCCUAGUAUCCACUAUGUUGUAAGAAUCAUGUUACUAAGACUUUGAAAUGCUUAAUGCUUGUCGCUAGGGCCUGAGUGCCUUGAUUUCAGAUCAAAACCUAUGAUGUUUUCAUUAAUAUAAUAGUGAUUUGGAUACCAUCUUGCAAGUUAUAGUUACCUAUUACGUGUCCUGCGCCGCAUACCCCAAGGUGACAAUAAUCGGGAUUCUUUCUUGUGAUUCUCGUAGUUUGAGGAGUUCAUGUCUUCACUAUGUGUUAAUGCUUUGUUCUGGUUCUCUAUUAAAAUGAUACCUUAAUAUCCCUUUCAAUAGGACCCCGCUGCCGCGGGAGGGUAGGACAAAAAAUGGCAUGUAAGUUCUAAUCGCAAGCAUGUACGACUAUAUAUGGAAUACAUACCUACAUUAUAUUGAUGAAUUGGAGCUAGUUGUGUGUCGCUCUAGUAUGUAAUUGUCAUAUGACCAAUGUCAUAUAAAUCAUUAUUCACUACAGAUCCACGUGCCUAUGCAUUACAUAUACUGAAUCUUGCUAAGUUACUACUCUUGCUACUAUAGUCACACCUUCUACUAAACUGCUACUUUUAUUACUCUUACCAAAAUCGCUGCUAUCACUGUUACUGUUAGUACUAUUACUUGUUGUGCCACUAAAUACUUCCUGCAGAAGGAUAUCCCAAGUGCGGUUCAAUUGAUAACUCAACUAUUAUAGCCAAUAAUAGUACUAACAAUGAUAGCACAAACUCCCGGUGGUAAGCAUCAUGGUGCUGUUGAUGGAUAAGGGUCGGUGAUGACGACAUCGAUGAAUCCCCCUGUCCGGAGACCCAAAAGGACUCCAGAUCAGCCCUCCGUAGGAAGAACAGGAGGUGGCGGCGGCUGUCUCGUAGAAUGCGAUGAAAACUUCUCACGUAUUUUUUCUCGGAGAAUAUGAAUUUAUAAGAGCGGAAUGACCUUCAUCAGGGAAAACUCGUGAUCUCCUCGGAUUCCUAAUGGAAAACAUCAACCUCGAGAUAGCCCAUAGUAUCCUCGGAAUCCGUCGCAUAAGAAGCUCGAGAAAGAAAAAACAAGUCCAGCAAGGCCGCCGAGCGUGUCCACGAUCCAGAUAGGACCCACAUAUCUCAUUCUCAGGACACGAUAGAUAAGCUAGUGUACAGGGCCUGAUAGACAUCACCUGAGUUGCCUCAGGUUGGCUCCGCACAUUGCUCUAUUUUGGACCAGCACCAUCAGCACUGGCCCUCCCUGUAUUAUGUUGAAUUAAUCCUCGGGUUCAUGAUGCCCUAUGUUUUUCAGUGUUAACAGAAUUAUAAUGUGGGGCAAAUAUAGUACCAAUGGUGGGCCUUGCCACACGAGCUUUAUCCAAAAAAGAAAGUCAAGGGGGCCCCAUAACAACCCCAAGCAUGUUAGGAGUGCUCAUUUGUGGAACAUAACACCGGUAGACCAAACUAAGGCGGCAAAGGUGAAAAAAACACCAGGCUAGAAGGCCAAGCCUUCCACCUCUUACCAAGCAUAUUGGUGUAUUAAAUUAAUUAGCAAUAAUAUGGUGAUAUAAAAAGGAACCCAUGUUUUUGCAUGAAAGCAACUGCACCUGCAACUAGCAAUGCUAUCAAAAGGCUGAGCAAGCGGUAACAUAGCCAAACAAGGUUUGCUGGGUAGUGGAAUGAUUAGAGGUUUCCAUCGCAAUGUUGGGAGGCUGAUAUUUAACAGGUGGUAGACAGUGAGACCUAGCGAUAGAAACGAAACAACUAGCAUGGUAAUGUAUAAUGACGAACUUCACAUACUAAUUAUUUAGUUCCCUUUUGUUUAGGUACACGGCAAUAUUAAAUGUUGUUAAACAUGGCAACGGGUGAAGCAUAAUUAAACUACCUAUCUAGGCAUUUUAAAUGAGGCCGAAAACGACAUAUAGCAUCUCUGAAAUGACCCCACGCAUUAACUUUGUAAUCUGUCCAGAUUUGUCCUUACCACAUUUUAUGUUUGUUAAACGGAAAAACAAAGUGGUCCACGCGAAACUACGCGUCAUUCUAGUCGGUUUAAAUAUAUAGCUCAUCUCCAACGGAGCAACUGUUAACUAGCUAUGAAUAAAACUAUUUUUAACAUGUUGUCAAGAAAACCAAUGCAAACAACACGUUAAACAGUUUUAAAUAUUUAUGAGAGUUAGAAAAUAUUUAUCUACACAAAAUUCUACACGUUUAACGUAUAUAAACUAUUCCGAUCCAUCGCAGGGUUUAUAAAUUACGGACAUUUUCAUAUUUGCAUUUUUUUCUAAAAACAGAUAAAUUCACAAGUUAAGAUAAGUUGCUACACGGGAAAAAAUGUAGGCGGGCCAAAACUGAAUCCAUACGGGCCAACUGGGGCUAGUGCAACAUAGCUAAGAAGCGCACGCGGUGCAGGAUAGGGCGGGGAUCUCACCACAGGCCGUGGGCCGAGGCCCAUAUGGUGGAGAAGCUAGGCAGGCCGGUCGAGGUAGCCGGAGUUCGGCCGGCUCGCUGGGUUUGGCGCGUGCUGGGCCUUGUCGUGGCCCACAUAGAGGCUAGAGGUCAACGCGAGCAACUCCUCGCUUGCUCCAACGCGCGGCGAGUAGUAGACCACGACGGCGACUCAGAUUGGGCUCUGUCGUGGCUGCCCACAGGUGACCGGGGGAAGCAUCGUGUGGGCAGCCACCCGGAUCCAUUCGCGUCCCACGGGAAGGUGUCGGUUCCAGUCGUGACCAACAGAGGGAGGCGGCACCUCGAGGAGCUAGGGCGUCCAUGCGGCUCCUCGCAAUGCGGCGGCCCGGUGGGAGGCUGCUAGCGGCGGGGAUGGGCCCUCCGGCCAAUGGGAUGCGGCGGCUCGCCGGUGGCGGUGUGAGGCACGACGGACUUGGGCGGAUCCGGCUCAGGGCAGUCGCCGCCGCUCGUGGAGCUCGGGAGCUCUUGGGCAGGAUAGCUUGGGGCUCAGCGGGACUGCGGCCCUGGUCGAUCCGGGACGGGAGGGCCCGGCUCGGUCGAUGGUAGGGAGAGAAGAGGAGCUGGGUGGCGGCUGGCUAGGGUUACAGGCGCAAAUCCCAAGGAAAGGAGUGUUGGCUGUCCAAAAUUAGGGAGGGAGUGUUUAAAUAGGAUUUGGGCGUAAGUUAGGGGUAUUUGACAUCCAAUUUCAACCGUAGGAUCGCAACCGAACGGCCUUGGUUGCACCCUAAAGUUAGGUGGUUGUGUAGAUUAGGAUAGGUUGGGAAUAGUGGGAGGUUUGCUUCCCGACAACAAGAGUUUUACACAUUGCAAAACAACCGACGAUAAACUGAUGACGUUGUUGUUAUGGUUGACCGUUCGGGUAUCAAACGGACCCCGAUUGCAAGAUAAAUUGACAAGCGGCCUACCUACACUAUAUUAAGACCGCACGCAAGUUUUAACCCAAUCCAAGAAAGUUUUAUACACACUUUUAAAAAACAAAAAUAAUAUCUAUUCCGCGGGCGCGUGCGUGUGUGGUUGGUUUCAAAACGGUUAACGACAAAAACGGAGAGAACCGACAACUAAUAAGGGAUGCAUGUUUUGAAAACAGGCGGCAAUGGAGUGCCGAUCCAAUGUAGAUGAUGCGAAUGAUGCAAUGAUGAAUGGAACAACCAAAAUAAUAACACGGCGACAACGAAAUAAAAGGGAAUCUUCUUGAGCGUCGGCCUCCGGCUGUUAGAACUCUCCUACACUAACAAGAGAUCUAGCCCCGAGAUCUAAGAAUGAAAAGGGGGAGAGGAAGAGAAGCAAGAGGUAAAACUUAGUUGCUUCUUUGACAAACGAGUGAAACCAACAAAACAUAGAUGUUGCAAAGAGAUGAAGAAAGAUAUAGGGAACAAGCAAGAAUUCAAACCAAAAUUUUGGCAACACUACCGUAGGAAAGAGGCAAAAUUUGAAAAGAUGGAAAGAUGUUGAUAAGAUUGACAACAAACCAACUAAAUUGAAUAAGCAAGGAGAGAACAUGAUCUUGAGAGAAGAAGAUGAUAGAUUGAAGAGAGCAAGAUCACCGCAACCCCAGAACAAGAAAAUAGAAACUAGAUCAUGAGAAGAAAGAAUGAAGAAGAAAAUGACAACUACUAUCACAAUUGAAUUUGACAAGGAUCCUUGCAAGAAGAGUAGAACGGAGUUUUUGGAAAACCAACAACAAAAAGANNNNNNNNNNNNNNNNNNNNNNNNNNNNNNNNNNNNNNNNNNNNNNNNNNNNNNNNNNNNNNNNNNNNNNNNNNNNNNNNNNNNNNNNNNNNNNNNNNNNCUUCGUCUUGGGGGUCACCACUUUAGAUUUCUUACUCGUGGCGGCAGAACCCUCUGUAGGUCCUCAACGUCUGUGUUGCACUCCCUAGACCACUUCUUGGAGUCCUUGCUGGAGGUCUUGUCGGUACUCUUGUUCUUCUUCGCCCCUGUAGCUUUGUCGGCAGGAGUAAGCGCGUUGUCGAAGAUGCAACAACUCCUUUUGGGUAGAGCUUAUCCGUGCAAAGGACUACGCUUUUCUUGUCGGUGUGGACGUUGAUGAAACUCAUUGACCCUAGCAUCUCUUGGGUGUUGUAGGUGUAAUGAGAAGCCCACGUGAAUUUUUCCAUAGCUAGGUGGCCGUGGAUUCUAUUGUAUGGCAGCGGUAUCUCGUGGACAUCAAACACGAACUUCUUUGUCCUGAAGUUGAGCUCCCUGUCGAACGUCACCAGCAAGGUAAUCUUUCCCUUCGGCUGGCUCCUUCCUAGGUAGACCCCCUCCAAUGUCCUCGUUGGCUUGAGUUCCGAAUCAGUGAUUUGUAGUCGCUUGAUCAUGUGAGGUGAUAUCAAGUUCAAUCCGGCCCACCGUCAACCAACAUUUUUGUCACUUUGAGGUUGCAGAUUGCUGGUGAGACCGACAAUGGUCAACACCCGAUGGCAGGGGUGUAGUCGGGGUGAUCGUGAGCAUCAAAAAUGAUGGGCAUGUUGGACCACUUGAGGGGCUUUUGUGCCUCCAUCAUUGCUUCAACAACAUUGAUCUCAUGGGCCCAUUGAUUGAUAUGCCUAUAAUAGGUGUGCAAACAUGCACCUCUCGCAAUGCACAUGGAGUAUUUUUCCUUGUGGAAUUUCUGGCCAUCAGAUCCUUCUCCAUCCUUGUCAUCACCAUUAUCGUAUUUAGAUUUGUUAACAAGGCCUCUAGCAGGCUUCUCCUUCUGGUGUUUAGUCUUUCCGCGGAGCCCUCCAUGGUCGCCACGGUUCUUCUUGCCGAAACCGGCGACACCAUCUUCGCCCUUGUUCUUGUCCCACUUCUCAUAUUCUUGUUUCUGCUUCUCGGCAAGCUCCUUGACUCGUCGGCACUCCUCGAGGUCAUGGCCAUUGGUGUGGUGGAUCUUGAAGUACAACCCAUCAGUAUUUCCAGUUUUCUCACCAAAUGCGGCUUCAUCGUCACAUGAGCACCCGGUAGCUUCCUUCCCGGACCCUUCCUUCUUGGCUUUCUUGUCAGUGUUCGAGUUGUCGAAUCCCUCAACAGCCAUCACUACCUUACGUUUGCGCUUGCGAUUAUGCUUCUGGCCUUUCUUCUUUGAGGUUGAUGCAUCCUUGUCGUCAGAGUCAACCUCCAUGCCAGCAUCUUCCGAGGGAAGUCUCCUCCCCUCACGCAUCUUGUUGAUUCUCAUCUACUCCUGCAUCCGCUUGUUGCAUACGUUCGUGUGGAACACGACAAUAACUAUGAUAGGAUGAAUGUCAUGAUGUUGUGUUGCAUGUGGCUGAAGCAUUGAAUAUACUUAUGGAGAAACUUGCCAUCCCUCUAGGUAAGUACAUGCAUGUCAGUGGGCUCACCAGGGAGCUUGUGGCCCCCAAGGUACAUGCCAACGAACUCGUCACACAAGUCCUCCCAAGAAAAGAUGGAGUUCGCUGCAAGUUCAUGAGGCAACACCUCACAUUGAGCUUGAGUGCCAACAAGAAGUAGUUGUUAAAGACCUUAUUGUUGUGUUCACCGACUGCUUGCACUGCUAUAGUGUAGAUCAUGAGGAAUGCUGACCAACUGAUCUUCCAUCAUAUCUCUUUGGCAAGUUAGGCUUGAAACUCUUUGUGGACGCCCAACGGACUUGCCGCAGCUCACGGGAAAACGUCAGGCAAGCCAACUUGUAAGGCAGGCUGUCGGGAAACCUGAUGUAGGAUCAAAAACAUCUUUCCCAAUACACGAAUUAGACUAACGACGUGCCUCCCGCCGCUGCUCGAUCGUGGCCUGGAUAUCCUCCAUCCACCGGUCCUAUAGGACUUGGCAUUAAUCUUGUUUCCUGAUAACCCACAAGUGUAGGGGAUCGCAAUAGUUUUUGAGGUUAGAGUAUUCAACCCAAAUUUGUUGAUUAGCCUCAAGGGGAAACGAAAGAAUGUUCUCAAGUAUUAGAAGCUGAGUUUGUCUGAUUCAACCACACCUGAAACAUUAGUGUCUGCAUGCAAAGUAUGAGUAGAAAAGUAGUAUGAUAGCAACGGUGCCAGAAACAGAUCUGUUGACGGCAGACUAUUCCUAACUGUUGUAUCAAUUGCGUAAGUAAGUUGCACGUGGAUAGGGAACUAUUCUUCCCCGGCAAUGGCUCCAGAAAAGUCUUACAUCAAGUAACAGCAAAGUAGCAAGUAACAGUAGUAGAAAGGAACAACAGUAGCAAGGAACAUCAGUAGUGACAGUAGUAGCAGCAGCAGUAGGAACAGUAGCAGCGACAGAGUAACGUAGCAAGGAACAAUAGUAAAAGACUAAUAGGCAGUGGAUCAGUGAUGGAUGAGUAUGACGGAUGUGAUUCAUCAUGUUAGAGUUAUAACACGGAUAGAUAAGUAACUAGCUCCAAUUCGUCAAUCUAAUGUAGGCAUGUAUUCCGUAUGUAGUCAUACGUGCUUAGGGAAAAGAACUUGCAAGACAUCUAUUCUCCAUCCCUCCUGUGGCAGCGGGGUCCUAAUGGAAACUAUGGGAUAUUAAGGUGCACCUUUUAAUGAAGAACAGGACCAAUGCAUUAACACGCGGUGAAUACAUGAACUCCUCCUACUAUGGUCAUCUCCGGGAGUGGUUCCGGCUAUUGUCACUCCGGGGUUGCCGGGUCUUAACACAUAGUAGGUGACUACAACUUGCAAGAUAGGAUCUAAAACACACAUAUAUUGGCGACAACAUAAUAGGUUCAGAUCUGAAAUCAUGGCACUCGGGCCCUACUGACAAGCAUUAAGCAUAGCCAAGUAGUAGCAACAUCAAUCUAGAACAUAGUGGAUACUAGGGAUCAAUCCCUGUGAAAACUAACUCGAUUACAUGAUAGAUCUCAUCCAACUCACCACCGUCCAGCAAGCCUACGAUGAGAUUACUCACGAACGAUGAAGAGCAUCAUGGAAUUGUCGAAGGAGGAAGGUUGAUGAUGUCAAUCGCGACGAUUUCCCCUCUCCGGAGCCCAAAACAGACUCCAGAUCUGCCCUCCAGAUGAAGAACAGGAGGUGGAGGUGCCUCUGUAUCGUAAAACCCGAUGAAACCUUCUCUCUGAUUUUUUUUCCGGGGAGACGAAAUACAUAGAGCUGAGUUUGAGGGCGGUGGUACCACGUGGGCCCCACAAGCCCUCACGGCACGGCCUAGGGGGGUGGCCGCGGCCUGUGGGCUUGUGGCCCACUGGCACGUCCCCUCUGGUGAAACUUUGCGCAGGUAUUUUUCUUUUAUUCCAAAAAAAUUCUCCGUAAAUUUUUAGGACAUUCCGAGAACUUUAUUUCUGCACAAAAACAACAUCAUGGCAAUUCUGCUAAAAACAACGUCAGUCCGGGUUAGUUCCAUUCAAAUCAUGCAAAUUAGAGUCCAAAACAAGGGCAAAAGAGUUGGGAAAAGUAGAUACGACGGAGACGUAUCAUUUCCAUCGUAGGCACGACGACACCAUGGGCAUCUCAUCCUGCAUGUAGACCCGGUGAGUCUGACACUUUUACUGUCGAGAUGACUGCAUUGUGGGUGUUGUGUUUACACUGGACCCAGCAGCAAGCUUCAUUGGCGUCAUGUGCCGCUCUAGUGAGGGCCCUUCCUCUCCUGGCAUGUUGUGGUUGGUGAAGCUGAGGAGGCUCUGGAUAAUAGCUCUACACUCCUUCAUCUUCUUUGGUGCAGGAGGGAAUUCCAGCAACAGCUGGGCCUGUGCCAAGGUUUCAUCCGAUGUUUUUUGGCAUGGCAUGGCACGAUGUGUGGGUGGCACUCUUACUUAUGACCGAGUCAGAAGAAUCUCCAUCCCGCCCUUGUGUACGCUGUCUGUUCUCACCAGGAGGUUGGCGAUGAUCUUGGCCCUAUGUGUCUUGGGAAUUAAGUACAUGGGUUGUAGUGAUUUUGUCAUGGUAGAUGUCUUGCAAGAUGACUAAGUAUAGGAAACAUUGCAACUAAAUGGUUGCUUGUACGGGGUUCAUCGGGAAUAAGAGACAAGGGUUUAGCCAGGUUCGGCCCCUCUGAGGGAGGUAAAAGCCUAUGUCCUGUUAGUGUCUUAUUGAUCACGAUAACCUCGGUUACAAGGGUGUGAAAUCGCUAACCAAGAUCUCGAGGAUUUCUUACUUGAUCUCUCUCCCUCAAGGGCUCCUAUUUAUAUAUAGGUUGAGGUACAGAGGUUACAAUAGAAUCCGAGUUGUAGUACAACCAGUGUCCUAGUCUACUUCCACUUUCCUUUCCUUUCAAGUAAGGGAAAGUCCUUACGACUCCCUCCUUGAGACGGCCCACCGAGAACUGGUCCACGUCCAACCUUCUUCAAUCAGUCACCUCCUAGACCUUGAACUUCAGGGCUUCCACGGCGCAUAUAAUUACUUUGGUUAUCAGCCGCCACUUACACGUAGAGCCAUACCCUUGUUGGUUCAUACCGUGGGGCAUAUCGACAACAUUAACACCAUGGUUAACUUGGAUUUAUCCAUGUUAAGCUCCAAGAUGAAAUGAAGUAAAAAACAUAAAUAAUCUUUGUUCAAAUCUGUAAGCUGGCAAUUUUUCCUUUAGCUACCGCGUCAAGGUACUACCCGGUCAAAAAAUCAUGGUCAGGACAUUUUCCCCUUUCUAGACUUAGCUUCUUUUGCGCCACCACCAUGAUGACAUCAUCUUACUGACCUCUCACAUGUUUGUGUCAUCAUUAUGAAUAUUUAACAAAACGUCAGAUCCGGUGAAGCAUGGGAAUUGAGGCAUUUUUGUAGCAACCAAUUAUUGCACUGGACCAUGAUUCCACCGCUCUGUUUCGGUUUUCCUUCCUUAUAAAUAGACCUAUGAGGGUCCGAGAUACAUUUUACCCUCUUCUUCUUCCUCUCGUGUCCACCACCACUUUCGAGCCUGCUGGUGUCUUCAGUUGUGACCAAGAUCAUCCCCACGCCAUGUUCACCGGAACUUAUUUACAUCACAUGUGGUUUUCCUCCGAAGUGCAGUUGAAUCGAUUCUCCUCUUCUUGAAGUCUUGUAAGUCCCUAUUAAUACUUGUUAGGUCAUCUUUGUUCUUAUUGGUUCAACAGAGUUUAUUAGAGUUCACCAAAGAUUUUAGUUGUAGAUCUAAUAGCUUCCAAAGAUUCUUGUUGACAACACGUAGUUUUGCCUCCACCGCAUUUACAUGGUGUUGUAGAUUCGCAAUAAUUUAUCCAUGAGAUUGUGCAAAUGCUUCACUUCCACUCCCUCUGCUGGUUUCUUAAGGAAUUUAUUUUAUUUUUCCCAAGGUUUAUUAGAUCCAUCCUCAAGUGAAAAAUGUUUGUCCAUAUGAUAAUUUUGCUUAGUCCUUGUAGGCCCUUUUACUUUACUUCUUAGCCAUCUUUUGCGAACACUGUCUCAUUCCUGCACGUGUCACUAUACCACAUUACCAGAUCGUUUACUACUGUCAAUUCUGUCAACCUUGUUCGAUUAUCAAGGAAUCCUAUCAUUAGUCGUCUGUCUUAAAACCCAUAUUGCGGGAAGACUCUAGAUUUCCUUGAAAUACCCGCCAAAUCUUGCUCGCUUAUAAACCAUCUUGAUCAUUGGUUUGAGUACUUGUGUCCAGUUCAUUUAUUUAGUGAAUCUCAUGACCCGAACGCUGUCUUAUUUGCUUUAUCCUUGACCUUGUAGUGACUUCUCAGAAAUAUCGAUGGCCCCAAAAACCCAUAUGUCAGUACUUACAGUAGAAGAUCUUGUGGGCAGGGUCUUUUCCCGAAUGAGUCACAAAUCAAUUGGCAGGCACCGAACGAAGAAUCUUCCCACAACCUCAAUGGGGUGAAGUCGUGAUUUUUCAUGAUCCUUUACAAAGUGGUUUCUGACCACCCGGGUUGAGAUUCUUCAGGGACGUGCUCAACUUCUUUAGCCUUAGUCCGCAAGAUAUCGAUCCCAAUUAAGUUACCAAUCUUUGCCAGUUUCAAUUUAAUUGCGAAGUGUAUCAUCAAGUUGAACCAAUUAUCAACUACUUAUGUGAAUUCUUUUAUAUUAACCAUCAAACAUAGUGUAAAGAUGGACCUAGUGUAGAACUUUGCGAAGUCUAAAUUUAGAAAAGGAAAAAACACUGCUUUUCGUGACGCCAAGUUGGCGACUAAUUCCAAAGGUUGGGUUAAGACUUGGUUCUAUUGCAAGAAUACUGCCCCUCGAGGUUAUAAUCGUCUACCGGGUUAUAGUCUGGAACAACUUAACACCAUUGUUGCCUUUCGGGGUUGGCCAUCCGAUGAGGAAAGGAAACAAAUGCCACCUCUCUGCCUAAGAUUAAGUGCUUUGAUGACUCAUGGUCUCACUAGGAUUGAACUAACUAGGUGUUGGAUUAGUAGGCGAAUUCAACCCCUUAGCUUGAGUAGCGACUUGAUGUAUAACUAUACAGGUGAGUCAACAGAUGCAUGAUGCCUUAGCCAAGUCAACUUGUUUGAAGAUAAUGUUACACAAAACACCAAGAAGUUUUUUGGUGACUCUAAGGAGAAGUGUAGUGUGACUGAAGUAUGCCCUAGAGGCAAUAAUAGAUUGGUUAUUCUUAUAUGUCCUUGUUGAUGAUAAUCGCUUAUUAUCCAUGCUAUAAUUGUAUUGAUUGGAAACUCAAAUACAUGUGUGGAUACAUAGACAACACACUAUCCCUAGUAAGCCUCUAGUUGACUAGCUCGUUGAUCAAAGAUGGUCAAGGUUUCCUGGCCAUAGACAAGUUUUGUCACUUGAUAACGGGAUCACAUCAUUAGGAGAAUGACGAGAUGGAGAAGACCCAAACUAUGAACGUACCAUAUGAUCAUGUCCGUUUAUUGCUAUUGUUUUCUACAUGUCAAUGUAGCAGUUCCUAUGAUCAUGAGAUCAUACAACUCCCGGACACCGGGGGAAUACCUUGUGUGUAUCAAACGUCGCAACGUAACCUGUGACUAUGAAGGUGCUCUGCAGGUAUCUCCGAAGGUGUUUGUUGGAUUGGCAUGGAUCAAGAUUGGGAUUUGUCACUCCGUAUGACGGAGAGGUGUCUCGGGGCCCACUCGGUAAUACAACAUCACAAAAAGCCUUGCAAGCACUGUGAAUGAGGAGUUAGUCACCGGAUCUUGUAUUGUUGAACGAGUAAAGAGACUUGACGGUAAUGAGAUUGAACUAGGUAUAGAGAUACCGACGAUCGAAUCUCAGGCAAGUAACAUACCGAAGGACAAAGGGAACAACAUAUGGGAUUAACUGAAUCCUUGACAUAGAGGUUCAACCGAUAGAGAUCUUCGUAGAAUAUGUAGGACCCAAUAUACACAUCCAGGUCCCGCUAUUGGUUGUUGACCGGGUAGUGUCUCGGGUCAUGACCGCAUAGUUCUCGAACCCGCAGGAUCUGCACAUUUAAGGUUCAGUGACGUUUCGGUGUAGUUGAGUUAUAGGUGUUGGUGACCAAAGGUUGUUCAGAGUCCGAAUUAGUUCCUGGACACCACGAGGACCUAUGGCAUGGUCUGUAGGUAAAGACUGAUAUAUAGGAUGUCCUGUUUUGGUCACUGAAAAAGUUUCGGGUUCAUCGGUAGUGUACCGGGAGUACCGAGAGGGUGCCGGGGGACCACCUGGAGGGGUGUGAUGACCCAAAGGUUUCAUGGGCUGUGAGAGGAGGUAGACCAGCCCCUAGUGGCUGGCCAAAGCCUCCCCUAUGGUCCCAUGCGGCUAAAGUGGAGGAAUAAGGCAAAAAGCCGAAAGGUGGAAAGGGUUUAUAAAUUAGGAAGGAGUCCUAAUAGGAUUCCACCUCCCUUGUGGGAGGUCGAUUCCUCCCUUGUUGGCUCAGCCGAACCUCUCCUUGGAGGAGGGGCCAAGGAAGCCUCCUCUCCUCUCCCUCCUAUAUAUAAUAGAGAUUUUAGAGGUGAGGGCUAACCCUAAUUGCCACAUGCUCCCUCUACUUCUCUCUUGAUCUAUUUCUCCUCUAUUCUAGUUCGGCAGUGCUUAGGCGAAGUCUUCCUGGAUUAGUUCACCACCACCACCACCAUGCCGCCGUGCGCUAGAUCGUCGGCGGAGAGCAUCGUCGAGUUGUACGUGUGCUGAGGGAGGAGGUGCCAUCCGUUCGGUGCUAGAUCGGGACGGAUCGUGGGACAACAACGAUUUGGAUCACGAAGACGUUACACUACAUCAACCGCGUUUCUUAAUGCUUCUCGCUUAGAGAUCUAUAAGGGUAUGUGGAUACGAACUCCCUCUCAUAGAUGAUCAACACCAUGAUAGGUCUUCAUGUGCGUAGGAAUUCUUUUGUUUCCCAUGCAACAUUCUCCAACAAAUUGUAGUGUGACAGGGUUGGUUCCAUUCAGCGUGACCAAUCCGGUUCCUCCAGUAAGCAUCCCUAUACUUUUUCAUUUUCCCUUAUCAUAACUUGUCUUCAUCUAUCUUACUUGAUCUCCGGCUCUAUCAUGUUUGCACGAAGACCCUAAUUGGUGGAAUGCCAGUGCUAGAACUCCUAGUCCUCCUCAAGCUAGACAAACAAAUGGAUCGGCUGAUGAUACGACUUCUAGAGAAGAGUGAGAGGUAGAACUCAACUCACUUGUUUGCCUUUUCGUCGUACUUGCUGACGCUCCAUCUUCUCAGGAUAACAUUGAGACCAGCAAGGCCGACAACAUUGAGGUAAUUUAAAUCUCAUCAAUAUCAAAUGUAUAUCAUGAAGAGGACCACACAAGUCGUCGGAAAAGUUAAGUUUUCGCACCCACAUGCUUACUUAGAACCAAAAUUUCUUUGGAAGAAAAAUCAACAUGCCGGUUCAUCAAAAUUAAAGACCCGAAGCAGCUCCGGGGAGUUAUCUUCAGGCUUACCCCUAGAGCCAGCCACCCGCAAGUAGAGAGUUGAGAUUCCUCAUAGUCCAACCUUAUCUCGUCCUCGAGCCGAUCUUUUAAAAUAACCACUCAUUCCCUGUGACUUUGAUUAUCACGAAUCACCACCUUCUUCUGGAGAUUCGACGGUGACUCACCUUCUUGCUUUCACCAUUAAUCAUGGGUAAGUGUUAUAAAGCCAUGCGUUUUCUGUCAUUACUUAUUGUUGCUUUUAAUACCAGGGUUACUUUCAUGGUUUGGAGAGCCAAAGACUUUGCGAAGAUGAAAACUGGCUGCUUAUCCUCUUCUGCUGCUGUUCGUGCUAAUAACCAAGACCCGCCAAUAAUUGAGUAAGAAAUCUAAGAUUAACGUGCUAGCCAGCAUGACAGAGACUUAGGGAAUGAUCUAUCUCGGGAACAUGACCCGGUUCAUGUUGAAGAGUCGUUGAUAAUGGAAAAACCAAUCAAAGAACAGGCUGCACAUGAUGACCCGACCCCGCAUAUUGAUCUGCCAACUGCUUCUCGUGCCUCCGGUCCUGUUGACGAGGUGGAUAAUGUUAUCCCAUCUCCCACAAUGGGUGAUGCAGAAAUGACCAUCAUGGUAGAGGUUUACAAGGCACCCGAAGCUUGAACUGCUUUAGCCAAAAUUGUGGCCAAGCAUGAGCCGACAAUGUCAUCAUAGGGGAAAACCACAUUGGAGCUUCACAAGUUUGCCAACCUUGGUGUCAUUGAUCUGCACGAAGAAUAUUUGACUGAGUUGUAUGAGAUCCGAGAUGCUGAGAUGGAUUUGAUAAGCGUGCUCAAUCGCAAAUACGAGAUUUGCAAUAUUCUUCCUUAUUUUCCUUUGUUAUAUAUAAUCUUGUAGAACCAAGGGGUGGCUUAUUGAAACAAGUAAUGAGCUAAGUCUUCCAAAAUGUCUUGUGAACUUGUGCAAACUGAGAGUAUCCCCCAAGGAUCGGGUCAGCAUGAAAAUAAUGAGUCGGUGCUUUAAGAGGCCUGAAAUUAUUAUGAUGAACUUCGAGAUGUAGCCCCCAAGGGCCGGGUCAUUUGAAAAUAAUGAGCUAGUGCUUUAAGAAUUUUGAAACCAGUAUGAUAAACUUCAAUCUUUAUCCCCCAAGGGCCGACUCAUCCCUUUGAGAUAGUCGGUUAUUCUCAUAAAAAAGGAAAUGUCUUGCAUUCGCCCACAUGGGCCAGCUCAUCUCUUUUGAGAUAGUUGGGUCUUCUCAUAAAGAAAAGGAAAUGUCUUGCAUUAUCCCUCAAGUGUUGGGCCGGCUGCCUACGGCGGCUUGGCUUUUGUAAACUAACACUGAUGUUUUGUAUGUUGCAGGAGAUGUUGUAUGAGGUCGAAUCAUGUAUGACCAUCUUGCAAAAGAAUCUUAAAAAAGAGAGAGAGCUGAAGAAAAAGACAGAAACUUUGGUGACUAAUACGCAAGACUCUCUGUGUCAAUCGAAUGGCCUCUUGAAUAAGCCCAAAGUGAGUUUUGAUAAAGAAAGAGCCACCCUAGAAAAGCGUGUGGAGGUAGCCAAAAAUCAACUGGUCUCGUCAAAAGAGGAUUUGAAAACCUUGAAACAGACUAUCACCAAUAUGACUCUCGCCAUGUUUGGUACCUUUAUAACUUCUCUAGAUUCAUAAUCCGGGUUAAAUUUUUGUCGGCUUAUAGACGUGUGUUUCCUUUUUGCAAGAAAAAGAAGCAAUAAUGUUGUUCAACAGCCGAUAGUUAAACUAAAGGCCAUAUGAACAUAGCUGGAACAAAUGUUCACAGGAUGUGUCUAGGCAAUAACGACUGUGAAGAACCUCGGAAAUCGUCCACUAUGGAUCAAAGAUAUGCUCAAUGACACUACAAGAAAUAAGGUCAAUUAUGACUCCCUAUAUUGGUCACUGAUUCGUCAUUGUUGUUGUUUAUUGACCUUUUUUUGACAAAAUUUACAACGUCAACAGUUGGCCGUCAAGAAUGAACAAACAUGACCUUUCUAAAAUUUUGGUCGCAGGUCUCUAUCGACCAAAAUUUUGGUUUUGUCAUUACCCAUUUGUGUGAGCCACGUAGGAUCUGACGUGGCCAAGCUGACGUGGCAUUGCUAGUGACCAAAUGGAAUCAUCAUAAAUUUCAUAUCCCUGUCCACCAAUCUAGCUACAUGGGCCUGGCCCAAUGCCUAUUUUACUAUUGAAAAUGUCUGAUUUGUUUGGGUUGAAGCAUUUUUUUGCUAGAAAGACACAUAUCUCAGGAUAAGCCCAUUAAAAAUAAGUACAACAGAAUAACAGAUUGUAAAUAAAAUGUAUAUUUCAUUUAAAUAGCAUAUCACAUAAUAUACAAUACAUCAUCCACCGACUCCACGCAUUAAGGUUCAACGUCUAACAAGGGCACAUCAAAAUAAUUUUACAUGUGCACAAUAAAAUACUUCUGCAAAAACACCUGCAAGGUUCUAGUAUACAAGGUUCAACGCAUUAAGGUUCAUCAUCUUCCUCUACACAAUAUGCUCUUGCCAUUGCCUCAUGCAAGAAGAAAAUGAUGGUAAGGCUUUCAGACCAAGGAAACUAGUAAAAAUGCACACACGAUAACCAAUGAUAAAACAGUACAAAAUUGUUGCUGCAUAUACUUUGCUGCUUUGCUGAUAAAACAGUAGAAAAUGGUACGGUGUCGGUUAGUUUCAUCAAACUCCUACUUUCUUGCAUUCCAAACAAGUCGAGACAUGCUAGCGUGACAGAUGCUGCAUAUACUUUGCUGCUGCAUAUACUUUGUAUUCUUCGGACUAGAGUAUAUAGAUUGUAGUAUACAUGUUGCAAAAUAAUAUGUAUUGUUGUAUGAAACAAAAAAUAUAAUGUUGCAUAUUACUGGAAAAUAGUAUCCUUGUGAAUUGUGAGUGUGAAUAUGUAUAAUUAUUACUGUUGUACGUGUAUAUAUAUAUCGAUGGCGUGACGCUACUGGUUUGCACUAUAGUAUAGCUACAUGGACCCAUGUAGUAUAUGUUUGUAUACCUGAUACUUCUUGCUGUAUGCACUCAUUUUUGAUCCAAUUGCUAAUGAACAGUAAAUGUGAGUGUCCCACCUGCAUAUUCAUAGCCAUCCAACGCUCCAAAACCCUCCCCUCAUACAACACACCUCUUUCAUUUUUUUCUUCCUUUUUCAAUCGAUAGCACUUAAUGACCAAUUUGUGCAAUAGUAUCAUGACCUAAUGGACGCAAAAGGUCAUAACGUUAUGGGCUUGGACCCUCAUAGACUUGCCAUAACUAAUUUCGGAAUUUUGGUCAUGGAUCAAUGAACAAUUAAACCACCGUCAUUUUUUGGGUCAUAAUUGAGCAUUUUUCUUGUAGUGUGAUCUGUCGACAGUACCCAAGUGGAUCAAGGAAGUAAGGAGGUCGGCGUCUCAUGUCGGGGCCAAUAUGGCAAUUGCUCAUGUGAAGGCUUAUGUGUCUGAGAUGGACCGAAAAACAAUUGAAGGUGGCUUUAUUGAUAUUAACAUUGAUUGAUCGAAGAUUUUGGAAAAUGACUAUGCCAAAUGUGUGAAGGAAAUUCGCAUGAGGCGACCCAACUUGCUAAUGAGCUAGAUUUAUUGAUUUAUCAACCCGUCUACUCCAAGGAGAACAAAUUCCUCAACCCGCUUGGAGAUAAACCCAUCAAGAUUUUUCCACUUUGAUGUAAGCAAACUUUUGCCCCUCACGUUGAUCCGUCUCUAAUCAUCCUUGGGGACUCAAAUUUCAAAGCUUUAACAACCAUUGAGUGGACUCGAAGGGACCUCCAAACCAAACUAGAUGAGAUGUCACAAGCCGACUGAGAGGCUUCAAGCUUAGGAAGCCAGUAGAAGGACGUCAACCUGGAGGAUCCAAGAGAUGGCAUGCAAGAGUAGUCAUGCUCUUCUUUGAAUUAAAUAACUUUGAAUAUUCUGUGGCUCAACCAUGUCUUAUAAUAUGAGUAGUCUAAAUAUUGAGCCACAUGUUGUGCCCUCGAGAACUUGAUACUGAUCAAGUAUUAUUCCAUGAAAGUAAUGAGCCGGCUAUUGCCCCGGUUUUUUGAUAUGCUUGUGUGUACUAUUGUUCUUCUCCAACAACCGGAUGUUGUCAUCUUCACGUACACCGAGCAAGAUGAGGUGAAUCUAGUAUUUAACAAAAGGCAUUGAUAAUUGUAUCAAGUAAAAUAAGUGGUCAUCGUAAGAUCAAGUAUACCAUCAUUAAGAGAGGCUAAAAAUAACCCGGAUGUCUAUUGUUGACCCGGCAAAAUAAGGAGAUAACUAUACCUGCAAAUUGCGAUAAAAGAGAUAUAUAUAUAAUUUAGAAGUAAGUUGCAUAAUUUAUAAGCUGGCUAUCGAGGCUCAAGUCUUGCUUCGAUGAAGAUCACGUGAUAGCCCAUGAGUUAUCCUCAAUCUCUGUAAGUCGGCUCUCAUGUGAAUUAAGCUUGUGUUUUAACCAAUAUAAGUUCAGGGUCCAUAUGUAUUGACCUAUCAAGAGUACACUCGUUCACCUUUUUGGAGUAGCUUGUUGUGAACAUGCAAGUUUAACCAAGUUUGAUAGUGGUUUUUAGCCAGGUCAAGAGGGAUAUUAAAGGCUAACUCGAUGAGUCACGAUCCCCCAAGUGACUUAUGGUCAAAGAAUAAAGACUCAUGCACAAUUCUGGAGAUGAAACGACAAAGACUCCGAGUUUCAGGCGUGCUGGCUUUAUUGUAUUGAACACAAAGGUAUAUACAUAAGUAUGUACAAUGAGUUGAAGCCAGUCGCUCUAAGUAUAAUAAGGCCAAAGGUGAGCAAUAGUCAAAGGUCUAUUGGUCUCCUCUUCAGAGGUGUGUGACAUAUUUUGUUCAAGUAUGUCGAUCAGGUAAUAUGACAUGUUCUUGAGGUUCUUGCUGAUGAAAAAAGGCCCUUCCCAUGGUGGAGACAUCUUAUGCAUGUUUGGUCUUGGAAUCAAACGGAGCACUAUGGCGCCUUCCUGGAAAGUCUGGCUGCGUACUCUAUGGCUAUGAUAAGAUGUAGGUAUUGUUGGUAGAUAGCUGGUCGGGAUGCUACAAGAUUGUGUUCCCCAUACAACACAUCUAGGGAGUCCUGACGGGCUUGUUCAUUAUCGGUCUCAACAUAAGGGGUAACCCUAAGGGCAUCUAUUUGAUGUCACUUGGAAAAACAGCUUCUGCUCCAUAAACUAGAAAAAAGGCAUGUAGCAUGUGGAUCUGUUGGGAGAAGUCCUUAUGCUCCAAAGUACGGCCGGGAGUUCUUUGACGCAGGAGCCAGUAUUUUUUCAAGUGGAACCAUACGCAGGGGUUUAAUUCCACCCAGUAUUUCCUGAUUAGAUCAUUCGUCUUGUCCAUUAGACUGUGGAUGUGCACCUGAGGCUAAGUCCUGCCGGAUAUGCUCUCGUUGGUAGAAAUGUCCCAUUGCUCCCUUACAUAAGUUGGUGCAACUAUUUGUGAUGAUCCUAUGUGGGUACUCAAAACAGAAAUCAGUUUUUUCAAAAACUUCACCGUCGUCUCAGCAUCACAAUUACUGAUUGGUUGUACUUCAACCCACUUGGUAAACUUAUCAACCGCCACCAAAAGGUGGGUCUUAUUAUAGGAGGAUGGCUUGAAUGGCCCGACCAUGUCUAGCCCCCAAACUGCAAAUGACCAAGUGAUUGGAAUCAUCUGCAGUUCUUGAGCCGAGACAUGAACAUGUUGUGCAAAUUUCUAACAACUAUCGCACUUUCAUACAAUGUCUUUUGCAUCAGCAUGCGUGGUAAGCCAAUAAAAACCAUGCCAAAACACCUUGGUUACUAGAAAUUUUGAGCCACAUGAUGACCACAGUCACCAGCGUGGAUUUCAUUAAGAAUCUCACGACCUUCCAUAGGGAAACACAACGUUGAAUACACCGGUAAUGCUUUCUCGGUGUAACUCUAGAUUGAAAAUAGUCAUGGAUUUGGAAACCUGAUAAUCUGAAGAGCGAUGAAUUCAUCGUAUGGGAGCUCACGACGAGUCAAAUAAGCCAGGUAGGGAAUAGUCCAAACCGGAAUAGCAUGAAGAACCGCCAGUAGUUGUGCCUCCGGGUCAAGAAUAGCUAUAUCUUCCUUUGAUGGCAACUUGACUAAGGGGUUAUAAAGGACAUCAAGGAAUACGUUGGGAGGAACCUUCUUAUGCUGAGAGCCUAGACGUGACAAAGCAUCGACAGCCUCAUUGAGGCGAUGAUCAAUAAGAUCAACCUGGUAACCCUGAAGAUGACAUGUCAUGACGGUAACUUCACGCCGAUAAGCCACCAUUAGAGUGUCUUUUGAAUCCCAAGUCUGUGAUACUUGCUGAGCCACGAAACCUGAGUCUCCCAAACAUAUGACCUGACUUAAGUUCAUUUCUAAGCCAUACAGAGCCCAUGGAGGAGGCCUUCAUACUCAGCUGGAUUGUUAGUACAAGGAAACAUGAGCCAUAGAACGUAACAAAAUUUCUCACCUCGUGGGGAAGAAAGAAUACCUCUAGCCCUCGAGCCUUCCAGUUGCCUAGAGCCAUCGAAUUGUAUCGUCUAGUAUGUGUUAUGUGGCCUUUCCUCUGGGAUUUGCAUCUCAGUCCAAUCAUUAAUAAAGUCCACUAAUGCUUUGGAUUUAAUAGCCGUCCGAGGCACAUACUUCACAUGAUGUGGUCCAAGCUCGGUUGCCCACUUAGAGACCCAACCAGUAGCCUCCCGGUUUUGUAUGAUAUCUCCAAGAGAAAAUAGUGCUUCAAUUCGCGGUUGACCAUGAAGACACCACAUACCAGUUUCUCCCAAUGUGGGUAACAUUGCUUAGAUUAGGUCAAAACUUUGCUCACAUAAUAGACAUCUCGAUGGACUGAAUAUUCCUUCCUAGCCUCCUUUCACUCCACGACCAGUUCUACACUCACCGCUUUAUUCUUGGGAGCGAUAUACAUGACCAUAGGAACUUUAUUAAUUGGGGCCACAAGGAUAGGUGCCUUAGCCAAUUAGUUCUUAAGAUCUUCAGAAGCUUUGGUUACAGCAUCCGUCCAGACAAAAUUUUCUACCAUCUUCAUUAACUAGUUCAGAGGAAUCGCUUUCUCACCAAGGUGGCUUGCGAAACGUCCUAACAACGCUAUACGUCCCACCAUGCAAUGGACAUCAUUGAUGUUGGAUGGCUUGGGGAGCGAGGUCACCACUGUGAUUUUGUUCGGGUUGUCCUUGAUACCUCAUUCUGACAUCAGAAAUCCCAGCAACUUUCCCGCAAGAACACCAAGCACACAUUUGGCUGGAUUAAGCUUCGUCAUCUUGACCCGAAUGUUGUCAAAAGUAUCUUUGAGAUUGUCCAACAUAGUCUCCUUUUUUUGGGACUUGACCACAAUAUCGUCAACAUAAGCAUGGACAUUACACCCAAUGUGUAGGUGGAAAAAGUUCUGUACACAUCGCUCAUAAGUAGCCGCCGCACUCUUAAGCCCCAAAGGCAUAGAUACAUAGAAGAAUGAUCCAAAGGGGGUGAUGAAAGUCGUCUUUUGUUGAUCCUCAAUAUCCAUAUUGAUCUGAUGAUAAUGGUAAUAAGCAUCCAAGAAGCAAAAAUGCUCACAACCAGGUAUAGAGUCGAUAAUCUGGUCAAUGCAAAGAAAAGCAAACGGGUCCUUGGGACAAACUUUGUUAAAAUUUGUGCAAUCAAAAGAUAUACACCACGUGUCGUUCUUUUUCAAAACUAGCACUCGAUUUGCCAACCACUCUGGGUGGAAGACUUCAAUGAUGAACCUGAGGUCUAGGAGGUGGGCCACCUCUUCACCGAUAGCAUUUCACCUCUCCUCGUGAAAACGACAGAGGUUCUGUUGUACAUGCUUCAUCUUUGGAUGCACAUUGAGGUGUUGCUCAACGAGUUCUCUUGGCACACCAGGCAUGUCGGAAGGUUUCCAUGCGAUUCUUUCGGAUGAACUCGAUGAGCGUGCUUUCCUACUUGGGAUCCAUGCAUUUCCCAAUAGUGAUUUGUUGGGAUAAAUCACCCGGAGUGAAAUCAAUUUGUUUGGUAUCCUCGGUCGACUGGAAUUUCAACAGCAGGUCAGACUGUAUGGUGGGCUCCUUGAGGGGUGCCAUGUCGGCCGGUCAAACAUUAGUUUUUUAAUAUUCUAGCUCCUCUCGUGCACAAGAUGACUUAGCAUAGGCUUCAUCUCCUUCCUCACAUUACUAAGAUGUUUUGAUUGCCAACAUUGGUGAUUGUUACGUUUGGCCCAAGCAUAUUAAGUUUGAAGUAGACAUAGAAAGGUCGUGCCAUGAAACAUGCAUACGACAACCAUUCGAAGAGGGAGUGAUAAGGGCUCUUUAUUUUGACAACCUAAAAAUAUAGAGAUUCACAUCGGUAGUUGAAUUCCUUCCCAAAAGCAACUUCGAGUGUGACUCGCCUAAUUGGAUAUGGUGACUUCCCAGGGACAAUUCCAUGAAAAAUUGUGGAAGGGGGCUGCAAUUUUUCUCGGAGAGAUUCAUCCAUUGAAACGUGUCAUAGUAUAAGAUGUUGAUACUACUUCCCUCGUCCACGAAUACAUUUGUAAGCGUAUAUCCACCAACUUCACGUGCCACUAAUAAAGCAAGGCUACCUGGGUUGUCGACUCAAGGAGGAUGAUUAUCUCUUAUCCAAGUGAUUGGGUAUUGAGACUAGUUUAUGUAUGUGGGAAGAACUCGCUCGACCUUGCUAAUGGAUCUAUGAUGAACCUUGCGGGCAUGCUCUAUGUGCUACUGGUGAACACAUGAUACUGCUUGUUGUUCAACUGCUUGGAUUGAACUGAAACCCGGCUUGGUCGUUCUUUUGCUGAUUAUCUUGACCAGACCAUUGAUGUCCACCACUACAGUUGUUGUGAUUCUGAAAACUAGCUCCUGAGCUGCCAGAUGCGUGGAAACCUGGACCUACAAAACCACUAGAUGAACAAGCCCCAGACCCGACAGCACCGGGACGACCGGGAUUUCCGCCACCACCGCCUCCAUGGUGACUCUGAUACACUUGGUUGAGGAAUACCUACAUGAUGUAACGGUUCUCCCCGAGUGAGUGGCUGGCUUAUCUCGGAAACAAUGUUUGAGAUAAGGGGAUUUAAGUGUUUCUUCGAAAUUACACGGCCUGUUCCCAUUGUAUGAUCUCCUGGAGUUGUUCAACCGUUGAUUCUUGAAGCCAGUAUUGGUGUUCGCGACAAAGUCUGAUCCUCCCUUAGGGUGUUUGCGCUUUCCACGGUUGCCUUCAUUGCUAUAAUUUCCAUUGUGCCCGGAAUGGUGUUGGUUGUGACCCUUACACCAUCUUAAUUCUUGCCUUUGGCAACUUAUCAUCUUCUAAACUAGGAUAUUUUUUGAUGUCCAACUCAACAUACCUAGUAAGGACAUCCAUAAGGUCUCCCAUGUCUUCAAUAUUUAGCUUGAGGCACGCACACUUUUGAACUAGAGGCUCGAAGGGGCAAUUGUUCUCCAAAAUCAACACAUCAGGGGCAGUUGUUAUACUGUGUGAAGAGUGAAUAAUAUCCAUGACGUGGUGAUACGUCUCCAACAUAUCUAUAAUUUAUAAUUAUUCCAUGCUAUUAUAUUAUCAUUCUAGGAUACUUUUUUGGGAUUUUAUUUAGCAUUUAAUAUUAUAUUUGAGCACAAACCUAUUAAGCCAGUGCCCAGUGCCAGUUGUUGUUUUCUACAUGCUUUUUGCUUUUCACGUUUACAGUACCAAACGAAGUUCGAUUGCCACAAAAAAUUAUUAUGAUUUUUUCUGGACCAAAAGAAGACCAGGAAGCUUUGGUAGGAUACCAUUGGUCUCAGGAGGGAGACACGACCCAACAAGGCACGACCAGGGUGGAGGGCGCGCUUUGUUUCCUCGUGCUCCCCUCGGUUGCCUCUUGGUGCCCCUUUGUGGCAAAUAGAUUCACAUACCUAGUACAAACCCUAGAGAUCAAUCCGAAAUACUUUUUUCACCGCCGCAAGUGUUUGUUCCACUUUAAGGCCAUCUAGAGCCUUUUUCAGAUGCCCUCUCACAGGGUGAGCGAUCAUGGACGGCCUCUACAUCAUAGUUGCUGCUCUCGUGGUGAUGUGUGAGUAGUUCACCACAGACCGACGGGUCUGGUGUUAGUAACUAGAUGCUUAUCUCUCUCUCUCUCUCUCUAUCUAUAUAUCUCUCUCUCUAAAUCUUGAUCUUGAAUACAAUGACCAUCGUAUCUUUGCUUUGAUCUACCCGAUUUAAUUCUUAUGUGCAGUGCGUUUGUAGGUACCCGAUGAAUUGUGUGUUUAUGAUCAUAUUAUCGUUGAUAAAUACCCGAGUCUUCUUUGAAUUCUUGUUUUUGAAUAUAAACAGUAGGGUAAAGGCCCACUGUAACUUUCAUUAAAAUUCGACAUAGAAUCAAAGUGAGUCUGGUAGGCUUGAGGUAAGCCCAAACAACUAGAAAGGGAGAGGAAAGAAAAAGAAAAAAGAGAAACGAAGAGAAAUAACAAGGUUUACAACACGAACAGAAGGAGACUAAGAAAGCUAAAAGAGAAAAGAAAAAACUAAUAUACACCUAGUAGGAUUACAACAAGGCUUCCAGCCAAGUGGAGAACUGAUGAUAUUUUUUCUCUUCAGCGUGUAUUUUAACAGCUUUAGCUCCUCCAUGAAGAUAAAUUUACAACCCCGAUAUGAAGGAAUUAUAUUCUUAAAGAUUUUAUUAUUCCUUGAUAUCCAAAUAGCCCAUGACCCAAGAAUGAUGAUGUCCAUAAAGAAGGGGUAGUUGAGAUUUUCAGUCAGAUCUUGGUAAGCUUCUAACACUCACAAGUUAUGUGAUCUUGUGGGACACAUAAAAUCGCAGCAUUGAAUGGCAAAAGGGCAUCCCCAAAAAAUAUGAUGUUGGGUUUCUUCCUAUUCACAACCCCUCACUUCACAAUUAUAUGCUUCAAGCUCAAUACCUUUUCUUCUUAAAAAAUUCCUUUUAUUGAUUCUAUCAUGCAACAGGAUCCAAAAAACACUUUGUGUUUUGGUUGUCAAGAGCUCUUCCAUAUUCAACCGAAGUGUGCUGGAGUUUGCUUGUACUCAAUCAACACAUUGUAAGCUUUGAUGAAAGCGUAGAAUUCGUCUCCUCAUAUAUAGCUCCAUGUGUCCACUAACUCCAAGUAACCAGACUGUCAUAGAGUGAUACAUAAUUUUCCGUUUCCAAGAAUUCCUCAUAUGCUUGAGUAGACAAUGGCUAAUAAAAGAGAACUUGAAGAUAUUCAGUGUUGAUCACUUGAUGGAAAUUUAUGUUUGGAUUUUAGGCAAAAGAGUAAAGAUGAUGGAACUUGUGUUUCAGAACAAAUUGAUUCCACAUGUCGUCCAAGAACAAGGCACUUUUACCAUCCCCGAAAUUACAUCUCGAGUUGAUUUGAAAUGAUCAAUGACUGCUAGUUUUAGCUCCACCAAAAAGAUCCCACCUUAUGAUCUGCUGGAAGUUGCCAAUUACGAUAAUAUGUCUCCCAAAUCAAGUGUACCCAGUGUAAGUCAUGCCUAUUGAAGAACUUAUGUUGAUUUUUCAUGAGCAGAGUCUUGUUUUAUGUGUAUAUAUCCAGGACUCCCAAUCGUACUUGACUCUUGAGUCUUCAAACUGUGUGCGAUGCCACUAGACCUGGUAUGUGGUCUUCCAAGUCAAGGCUUCUCCAUAGACAAUGUCUCAAGUACUUAAUGAUCUUCUUCUUGAUGGUAAUAUGUAUGUCCAAGUAGCACAUGAAGAAAAUUGAUUGAAAUUGAAUCACAUAUUUGACCAGGAGCAACCUACCAGCUUGAGUCAUAAAGGUAGAAAUGCCAGCUAAUCUCUUAGCAAUUCUGUUGACUAUGGGUAAACAUUGUUUCACUGUUGGCUUAUAGAUUCCAAGUGGCACGCCCAAGUAUGUAAAAGGAAAACGUCCUCUAGCAUAGGUGUAAUGUGUUUUUUAAAAUGCUUACUCUAUCUUCUGCAAUAUUUAUGGGCACCAUGAUAUAUUUCCCAUAAUUGACUUUUAGUCGAGUGGUUGAGGCAAAUGUUUUCAAUAAAGCUUUUAGACAUAUCAGUUGUCUUGCAUCUUCUUGCAUAAGAACUAGAGUGUCAUCCGCAUAUUGUACUAUUGGAAAGUCAGGGCAGAAGUUGACUUGAAGUUGUGGUUUAAUUAGAUCCGGUCUCAUGGCCUUGUUAAGUAUAGAUGGAAGUAGGUCAGCUGUUAGGAAAAAUAUUAGUGGAGACAAGGGUCCCCUGUCUAACUCCUCUUCUAGAGUAAAUUUAUUUUCUAUGGACUCUACUCAACAUCAUAGCAGAUGAGGCAGAUGUCAAAAGUACUUGCAUCGAGGAAAUCAAUUUUUCUCCAAAUGCCUUUGCUCUAAGAAUAUCAAUAAUAGCGUGAUGCUCAAUUUUGUCAAAAGCUUUCUCAAUUAAUCACUAAUAAAUUUUUUUUGAUUUGUGACACUGAUGAAUAUAUUCAUAAGCCCAACCAAAACAGUCUUCAACCACCCUAUCUUUGAGGAACCCAUAUUUGUUAAUAUGCACCAUCUCAAGGAUAACCCUUUGCAAUCUAUUGGCCAACAGCUUGGUAAUUAUCUUAAGCACUCCAUUAAGCAGAGAGAUUGGUAAGAAGUCAUUAGGGGAAACUGGAACUUCUUUUUUUUGGAUCAAGGUACUAAAGGAUGUAUUGAUUCUUUCAAGAUUAACAUUACCUGCAUGGAAAGCCAUGAUAAGCUUAGUAAUAUCCACUUUAAUGAUGUCCGAGUAGGCUUUAAUAAACUCAUUAUUGAAUCCAUCAAGACCUGGAGAUUUGUAUGUAGGAAGGUUUUUUACCACCUCAUCAAUUUCCUCCUAUGUGAAAGGAUUUUCAAGAUCCUGGAAAAUCUCAGGAUCUACUCUAUGGUCAUAUAGAUCAUUCAAAUCAUCUUCUCUGAAUUUCAAAUACGAUUCUUAUGUGCAUGAUCAUUAUAGCUUCGUAAUUCUCUUCGAUGUAUUGAUUUGCUUUGGCCAAGUUGAUUUAUCUUUCUUUAGUGAGAUGUGUGCAUUGUUGUCAUACCAGGUGUUUGUACGACUUUGCUAUGCUAUGAUUAUAUGACAUUUGGAACCAGUUUAAACUAUUUGAUGUGCUUGUCAUGCAUGAAUUGAUUGCUACUUGCUUUCUUGCUUAUUUGGGUUUUCAUUUGCCUUAAAAAUUCUCCUUGUCUUAAGAGUCGUCUUCUUGCUCCAAAUCUUUGCCCAAUGACCAUUCCAUGUGUAUAGGACCUAAAGCUAUUUUUGCAAAACAAUAUUUUGGACAAAAAUCAUUUAUUCAAUUUAGGUUUUACCAAAACCCCUCAAUUGAUGUUUGUACUACAAGUCCUAAAAUUGGGUGGAUGAUUUUUACCUAAAGAAUUUAUUUGUAACCUACCAUAUAUAAGACUUCCCAGAAUCACCAAAAAAUUAUUUUAAAAGUUAUUUUCUGUUUUUUAAUACCAUUUUGUGAGGCUAGAAAAGGUCCCUUAUAGGGAAAAUUACUUUUAGUACAUUCAAAAUAUUUGAGAAAAUUUAGGGAAAUUCUCUUGACAUAUAUUUUCCAUAUACAAGAGUUACAACACCUGGUCAUGUUCAAAAUAUUGGACAAAACCCUCCAAAAUCCUUUCUACUCUUUACAAGCUUUUGGAAUAUUUCUAUAAGAAAUAUUCCCAAUAAAUUGUAAGAAAAUUCUAGCAAGUCACACAUGAGAUAUGUGAUGCUCUUGCCAAGUUUCAUAUCAAUCCAAAUUGAUUUGGUACACCAAAAUAUUCGAAAACCUUCUCUCUCCAGAAUUAAAUUUGAUCAACUCUACGUUGCCAAGAUUCCCCCAUUUGAUCCAAAACUUCGUGAUCAAGCUAGAAUCACCAAAUACUGCCUCCACAACAAGUUGUGCAUUAGGAUGAAUGUUUUUGCAUGGUCAGAUCUACAAAAACCUGAUUUUGUCCAUUAGUAGGGUUUUUCAUGUUUGCAAUGUCAACUUUGCUCAAAUGAGAUCGAACCAUGUGACCCCUCUCAUUUUUACUCACCAUUCAAUCCUGUCAAAUAUCACAGUAAGUGGGUAAAAUUUCCUUGCUCAAAACAGCAUCGAACACCUUCCGGUGGUUUGGUAAAAACAUGUUUUGGCCACUUCUACCAUUCCGCUUCACCUUAAUUCUUACCAAAGCUCCUUCUAGUUACCAUUCACCCCGACUAAAAAUUUCAGGCCCUCAGCUAAAUCGUUGGUGGGGUAAAAACCUCAAUUAACCCUCUGGACAACCAUGGUCUACCUCCCUCACCAAUUUCCUCUUAUUAUAGUGAGCUCCCAGAGCAUCCAAGCUGUCGGUGCACCAAUGACCAGGGUCUCCGGUGCCCCGUGUUGGGGAACAUCGCAUGGGAAACAAACAUUUUCCUACGCGCACGAAAACCUAUCAUGGUGAUGCCCAUCUACGAGAGGGGAUGUGUGAUCUACGUACCCUUGUAGACCGUACAGCAGAAGCGUUAGUAAACGCGGUUGAUGUAGUGGAAUGUCCUCACGUCCCUCGAUCCGCCCCGCGAACCGUCCCGCGAUCAGUUCCACGAUCUAGUGCCGAACGGACGGCACCUCCGCGUUCAGCACACGUACAGCUCGACGAUGAUCUCGGCCUUCUUGAUCCAGCAAGAGAGACGGAGAGGUAGAAGAGUUCUCCGGCAGCGUGACGGCGCUCCGGAGGUUCGUGAUGAUCUUGCCUCAGCAGGGCUCCGCCCGAGCUCCGCAGAAAUGCGAUCUAGAGGAAAAACCGUGGAGGUAUGUGGUUGGGCUGCCGUGGAAAAGUCGUCUCAAAUCAGCCCUAAAACCUCCGUAUAUAUAGGGGGAAGAGGGGGAGCCUUGCCUUGGGGUCCAAGGACCCCUAAGGGUUUCGGCCGAGCCAAGGGGGGAAUGUCUCCCCCCCCCCAAACCGAGUCCCACUUGGUUUGGAAGGUGGAGUCCUUCUCCCUUUUCCCACCUCCUCUUUUUUUUCUUUUCUCUUUGAUUUUUCUUCCUAUGGCGCAUAGAGCUCUUUUGGGCUGUCCCACCAGCCCACUAAGGGCUGGUGUGCCACCCCCAAGGCCUACGGGCUUCCCCGGGGUGGGUUGCCCCCCACGGUGAACUCUCGGAACACAUUCGUCAUUCCCGGUACAUUCCCGGUAACUCCGAAAACCUUCCGGUAAUAAAAUGAGGUCAUCCUAUAUAUCAAUCUUCAUUUCCGGACCAUUCCGGAAACCCUCGUGACGUCCGUGAAUUCAUGCGGGACUCCGAACAACAUUCCGUAACCAACCAUAUAACUCAAAUACGCAUAAAACAACGUCGAACCUUAAGUGUGCAGACCCUGCGGGUUCGAGAACUAUGUAGACAUGAACCGAGAGACUCCUCGGUCAAUAUCCAAUAGCGGGACCUGGAUGCCCAUAUUGGAUCCUACAUAUUCUACGAAGAUCUUAUCGUUUGAACCUAAGUGCCAAGGAUUCAUAUAAUCCCGUAUGUCAUUCCCUUUGUCCUUCGGUAUGUUACUUGCCCGAGAUUCGAUCGUCAGUAUCCGCAUACCUAUUUCAAUCUCAUUUACCGGCAAGUCUCUUUACUCGUUCCGUAAUACAAGAUCCCGCAACUUACACUAAGUCACAUUGCUUGCAAGGCUUGUGUGUGAUGUUGUAUUACCGAGUGGGCCUCGAGAUACCUCUCCGUCAGACGGAGUGACAAAUCCCAGUCUCGAUCCAUACUAACUCAACGAACACCUUCGGAGAUACCUGUAGAGCAUCUUUAUAGUCACCCAGUUACGUUGCGACGUUUGAUACACACAAAGUAUUCCUCCGGUGUUAGUGAGUUAUAUGAUCUCAUGGUCAUAGGAACAAAUACUUGACAUCCAGAAAACAGUAGCAAUAAAAUGACACGAUCAACAUGCUACGUCUAUUAGUUUGGGUCUAGUCCAUCACGUGAUUCUCCUAAUGACGUGAUCCAGUUAUCAAGCAACAACACCAUGUUCAUAAUCAGAAGACACUGACUAUCUUUGAUCAACUGGCUAGCUAACUAGAGGCUUGCUAGGGACAGUGUUUUGUCUAUGUAUCCACACACGUAAAUGAGUCUUCAUUCAAUACAAUUAUAGCAUGGAUAAUAAACGGUUAUCUUGAUACAGGAAUUAUAAUAAUAACUAUAUUUAUUAUUGACUCUAGGGCACAAUUCCAACAGUCUCCCACUUGCACUAGAGUCAAUAAUCUAGCCCUCACAUCAUCAUGCGAAUUACAUUGUAAUAAAUCUAACACCCAUACAGUUCUGGUGUUGAUCAUGCUUUGGCCGUGGAAGAGGUUUAGUCAGCGGGUCUGCUACAUUCAGAUCCGUGUGCACUAUGCAUAUAUUUACGUCCUCUCCUUCGACGUAGUCGCGGAUGAGUUUGAAGCGUCGUUUGAUGUGUCUGGACUUCUUGUGAAACUGUGGUUCCUUUGCUAAAGCAAUGGCACCCGUGUUGUCACAGAACAAGGUUAUUGGAUUCCUGCGCUUGGCACCACUCCAAGAUCCGUCAUGUAUUGCUUCAUCCAGACACCCUCCUUAGCCGCCUCCGAGGCAGCCAUGUACUCCGCUUCACAUGUAGAAUCUGCUACGACGCUUUGCUUGGAACUGCACCAGCUUACCGCACCCCCAUUAAGAAUAAAUACGUAUCCGGUUUGCGACUUAGAGUCGUCCGGAUCUCUCUCAAAGCUUGCAUCGACGUAACCUUUUACGGCGAGCUCUUCGUCACCUCCAUACACGAGAAACAUCUCCUUAGUCCUUUUCAGGUACUUCAGGAUAUUCUUGACCGCUGUCCAGUGAUCCACUCCUGGAUUACUCUGGAACCUACCCGCCAUACUUAUGGCGAGGCUAACGUCCGGUCUAGUGCACAACAUUGCAUACAUGAUAGAACCUAUGGCUGAAGCAUAGGGGACGGAGCGCAUAUGCUCUCUAUCCUCAUCAGUUGCUGGGCACUGAGUCUUAAUUAAUCUCGUACCUUGUAAAACUGGCAAGAAUCCUUUCUUGGACUGUUCCAUUUUGAACCUCUUCAAAACUUUAUCAAGGUAUGUGCUUUUUAGAAAGUCCUAUCACGCGUUUUGAUCUAUCCCUGUAGAUCUUAAUGCCUAGAAUGUAAGCAGCUUCUCCUAGGUCCUUCAUAGAGAAACUUUUAUUCAAGUAAUCCUUUAUGCUCUCCAAAAACUCUAUGUUGUUUCCAAUCAGUAAUAUGUCAUCCACGUAUAAUAUUAGAAACGCCACAGAGCUCCCACUCACUUUCUUGUAAAUACAAGAUUCUCCAACCACUUGUAUAAACCCAAAUGCUUUGAUCACCUCAUCAAAGCGUUUGUUCCAACUCCGAGAUGCUUGCACCAGUCCAUAAAUGGAUCGCUGGAGCUUGCACACCUUGUUAGCAUUCUUAGGAUCGACAAAACCUUCGGGUAACAUCAUAUACAAUUCUUCCUUAAGGAAACCAUUAAGGAACGCCGUUUUGACAUCCAUCUGCCAGAUUUCAUAAUCGAAAAAUGCAGCUAUUGCUAACAUGAUUCUGACGGACUUAAGCAUCGCUACGGGUGAGAAUGUCUUACCGUAGUCAACUCCUUGAACUUGUGAAAAACCCUUUGCCACAAGUCCAGCUUUAUAAACGGUCACAUUGCCGUCAGCGUCCGUCUUCCUCUUAAAGAUCCAUUUGUUCCGAAUAGCCUUGCUGCCCUCAGGCAGUACCUCCAAAGUCCACACUUUGUUCUCAUACAUGGAUCCUAUCUCGGACUUCAUGGCUUCUAGCCAUUUGUUGGAAUCUGGGCCCACCAUCGCUUCUUCAGAAUUUGCAGGUUCAUUGUUGGCCAACAACAUGAUUGAUAAGACGGGACUACCGUACCACUCUGGAGCAGCACGUGGUCUCGUCGACCUGCGUGGUUUGACAGAAACAUGAACCGGAGUUUCAUGAUCAUCAUCAUUAACUUCCUCCUCAACCGGCGUCGCAACGACAGAGGUUUCCCCUUGCCCCGCGCCACCAUCCAGAGGGAUGAAAGGUUCGACAACCUCGUCAAGUUCUAUCUUCCUCCCACUCAAUUCUCUCGAGAGAAACUCCUUCUCGAGAAAAGCUCCGUUUUUAGAAAGAAACACUUUGCCCUCGGAUUUGAGAUAGAAGGUGUACCCAACUAUCUCUUUUGGGUAACCUAUGAAGAUGCACUUUUCCGCUUUGGGUUCCAGCUUUUCAGGCUGAAGCUUUUUGACAUAAGCAUCAGAUCCCCAAACUUUAAAAAACGACAACUUUUGCCUUUUGCCAUACCACAGUUCGUAUGGUGUCGUCUCAACGGAUUUUGAUGGUGCCCUAUUUAAAGUGAAUGCAGCUGUUUCUAAUGCAUAACCCCAAAACGAUAACGGCAAAUCAGUAAGAGACAUCAUAGAUCGCACCAUCUCUAAUAAAGUACGAUUACGACGUUCAGACACACCAUUACGCUGUGCUGUUCAAGGCGGUGUCAACUGUGAAACAAUCCCACAUUGUCUUAAGUGAGCACCAAACUCGAAACUCAGAUAUUCACCCCCACGAUCAGACCGUAGGAACUUGAUCUUCUUGUUACGAUGAUUUUCAGCUUCACUCUGAAAUUGCUUGAACUUUUCAAAUGUUUCAGACCUGUGCUUCAUUAAGUAGACAUAACCAUAUUUACUCAAAUCGUCAGUGAAGGUGAGAAAAUAACGAUAUCCGCCGCAUGCCUCUCCGCUCCUCGGACCACACACAUCGGUAUGUAUGAUUUCCAACAAGUCACUUGCACGCUCCAUUGUUCCGGAGAACGGAGUUUUAGUCAUCUUGCUCAUGAGGCAUGGUUCGCACGUGUCAAGUGAAUCAAAGUCAAGUGACUCCAAAAGUCCAUCGGCAUGGAGUUUCUUCAUGCGCUUUACACCAAUAUGACCUAAGCGGCAGUGCCACAAAAAUAUGGCGCUAUCAUUGUUAACUCUAACUCUUUUGCUCUCAAUGUUAUGUAUGUGUGUAUCCCUAUCAAGAUUCAAUAUGAACAAUCCUCUCAUAUUGGGUGCAUGACCAUAAAAGAUGUUACUCAUAGAAAUAGAACAACCAUUAUUCUCUGACUUAAAAGAGUAACCGUCUCGCAAUAAACAAGAUCCAGAUAUAAUGUUCAUGCUCAACGCAGGCACUAAAUAACAAUGAUUCAAGUUCAUAACUAAUCCUGAUGGUUACUGAAGUGAAACUGUGCCGACGGCGAUUGCAUCAACCUUGGAACCAUUUCCUACGCGCAUCGUCACUUCAUCUUUCGCCAGCCUUCGUCUAUUCCGCAGUUCCUGUUUCGAGUUGCAAAUAUGAGCAACAGAACCGGUAUCGAAUACCCAGGCACUACUACGAGAGCCGGUUAAGUACACAUCAAUAACAUGUAUAUCAAAUAUACCUGAUUUUUCUUUGGCCGCCUUCUUAUCUGCCAGAUACUUGGGGCAAUUGCGCUUCCAGUGACCCAUACCCUUUCAAUAGUAACACUCUGUUUCAGGCUUAGGUCCAGCUUUGGGUUUCUUCGUUGGAUUGGCAACUGGCUUGCCGCUCUUCUUUGAAUUACCCUUCUUGCCUUUGUCGUUUCUCUUGAAACUAGUGGUCUUAUUCACCAUCAACACUUGAUGCUCUUUACGGAGUUCAGACUCUGCGACUUUCAGCAUCGCAAACAACUCGCCGGGUGACUUGUUCAUCCCUUGCAUGUUGUAGUUCAACACAAAGCCUUUAUAGCUUGGCGGCAGUGAUUGAAGGAUUCUAUCUGUGAUAGCCUCUUGCGGGAGUUCAAUCCCCAGCUUAGCUAGACGGUUUGAGUACCCAGACAUUUUGAGCACAUGUUCACUGACACACGAGUUCUCCUCCAUCUUGCAAGCAUAGAAUUUAUGGGAGGUCUCAUACCUCUCGAUCCGGGCGUUCUUCUGAAAGAUAAACUUCAACUCCUGGAACAUCUCAAAUGAUCCGUGACGCUCAAAGUGACGUUGAAGUCCCGGUUCUAAGCCAUACAAGACUGCAUAUUGAACUACUGAGUAGUCCUCCUUACGUGCUAACCAAGCAUUCUUAACAUCCUGAUCAACCGUAGUGGGAGGUUCAUCUCCUAGCGCAGCAUUAAGGACAUAAUCCUUCUUCCCAGCUUGUAAGAUUAGCUUAAGAUUACGAGCCCAGUCUACAAAGUUGCUUCCAUCAUCUUUCAACUUAGCUUUCUCUUGGAUCGUAUUAAAAUUCAGGGUGACUGCCGCGUGAGCCAUGAUCUACAACACAAAUAUAUUCAAAAUGGACUUAGACUAUGUUCAAGAUAAUUAGAGUUUAACUUAAUCAAAUUAUUCGCUAAACUCCCACUCAAAAAGUACAUCUCUCUAGUCAUUUGAGUGGUUCAUGAUCCACUUACACUAGCUCAAGUUCGAUCAUCACGUGAGUUGAGUAUAGUUUCAGUGGUAAGCAUCCCUAUGCUAAUCAUAUCAUCUAUAUGAUUCAUGAUCGACCUUUGGGUCUCAAGUGUUCCGAGGCCAUGUCUGCACAUGCUAGGCUCGUCAAGCUUAACCCGAGUGUUCCGUGUGCGCAACUGUUUUGCACCCGUUGUAUGUGAACGUUGAGUCUAUCACACCCGAUCAUCACGUGGUGUCUGGAAACGACGAACUGUAGCAACGGUGCACAGUCGGGGAGAACACAAUUUCGUCUUGAAAUUUUAGUGAGAGAUCACCUCAUAAUGCUACCGUCUUUCUAAGCAAAAUAAGGUGCAUAAAGGGAUUAACAUCACAUGCAAUACAUAAGUGACAUGAUAUGGCCAUCAUCACGUGCUCCUUGAUCUCCAUCACCAAAGCACCGGCACGAUCUUCUUGUCACCGGCGCCACACCAUGAUCUCCAUCAACGUGUCGCCAUCGGGGUUGUCGUGCUACUCAUGCUAUUACUACUAAAGCUACAUCCUAGCAAAACAGUAAACGCAUCUGCAAGCACAAACAUUAGUAUAAAUACAACCCUAUGGCUCCUGCCGGUUGCCGUACCAUCGACGUGCAAGUCGAUAUUAUCUAUUACAACAUGAUCAUCUCAUACAUCCAAUAUAUCACAUCACAUCGUUGGCCAUAUCACAUCACAAGCAUACCCUGCAAAAACAAGUUAGACGUCCUCUAGUUUUGUUGUUGCAUGUUUUACGUGGUGACCAUGGGUAUCUAGUAGGAUCGCAUCUUACUUACGCAAACACCACAACGGAGAUAUAUGAUUUGCUAUUUAACCUCAUCCAAGGACCUCCGCGGUCAAAUCCGAUUCAACUAAAGUUGGAGAAACGGACACUUGCCAGUCAUCUUUGAGCAACGGGGUUACUCGUAGCGAUGAAACCAGUCUCUCGUAAGCGUACGAGUAAUGUCGGUCCAAGCCGCUUCAAUCCAACAAUACCGCGGAAUCAAGAAAAGAUUAAGGAGGGUAGCAAAACGCACAUCACCGCCCACAAAAACUUUUGUGUUCUACUCGAGAAGACAUGUACGCAUGAACCUAGCUCAUGAUGCCACUGUUGGGGAACAUCGCAUGGGAAACAAAAAAAUUCCUACGCGCACGAAGACCUAUCAUGGUGAUGUCCAUCUACGAGAGGGGAUGUGUGAUCUACGUACCCUUGUAGACCAUACAGCAGAAGCGUUAGUGAACGCGAUUGAUGUAGUGGAACGUCCUCACGUCCCUCGAUCCGCCCCGCGAACCGUCCCGCGGUCAGUCCCACGAUCUAGUGCCGAACGAACGACAUCUCCCCGUUCAGCACACGUACAGCUCGACGAUGAUCUCGGCCUUCUUGAUCCAGCAAGAGAGACGGAGAGGUAGAAGAGUUCUCCGGAAGCGUGACGGCGCUCCGGAGGUUGGUGAUGAUCUUGUCUCAGCAGGGCUCCGCCCGAGCUCCGCAGAGACGCAAUAUAGAGGAAAAACCGUGGAGGUAUGUGGUCGGGCUCCCGUGGAAAAGUCGUCUCAAAUCAGCCCUAAAACCUCCGUAUAUAUAGGGGGAAGAGGGGGAGCCUUGCCUUGGGGUCCAAGGACCCCUAAGGGUUUCGGCCGGGCCAAGGGGGGGAGGUCUCCCCCCCCCAAACCGAGUCCAACUUGGUUUGGAAGGUGGAGUCCUUCUCCCUUUUCCCACCACCUCUUUUUUUUUCUUUUCUAUUUGAUUUUUCUUCCUACGGCGCAUAGGGCUCCUUUGGGCUGUCCCACCAGCCCACUAAGGGCUGGUGUGCCACCCCCAAGGCCUAUGGGCUUCCCCGGGGUGGGUUGCCCCCCCGGUGAACUCCCGGAACCCAUUCGUCAUUCCCGGUACAUUCCCGGUAAUUCCGAAAACCUUCCGGUAAUCAAAUGAGGUCAUCCUAUAUAUCAAUCUUUGUUUCCGGACCAUUCCGGAAACCCUCGUGAUGUCCGUGAUCUCAUCCGGGACUCCGAACAACAUUCGGUAACCAACCAUAUAACUCAAAUACGCAUAAAAUAACGUCGAACCUUAAGUGUGCAGACCCUGCGGGUUCGAGAACUAUGUAGACAUGACCCGAGAGACUCCUCGGUCAAUAUCCAAUAGCGGGACCUGGAUGCCCAUAUUGGAUCCUACAUAUUCUACGAAGAUCUUAUCGUUUGAACCUAAGUGCCAAGGAUUCAUAUAAUGUCGUAUGUCAUUCCCUUUGUCCUUCGGUAUGUUACUUGCCCGAGAUUCGAUCGUCAGUAUCCGCAUACCUAUUUCAAUCUCGUUUACCGGCAAGUCUCUUUACUCGUUCCGUAAUACAAGAUCCCGCAACUUACACUAAGUCACAUUGCUUGCAAGGCUUGUGUGUGAUGUUGUAUUACCGAGUGGGCCUCGAGAUACCUCUCCGUCAGACGGAGUGACAAAUCCCAGUCUCGAUCCAUACUAACUCAACGAACACCUUCGGAGAUACCUGUAGAGCAUCUUUAUAGUCACCCAGUUACGUUGCGACGUUAGAUACACACAAAGUAUUCCUCCGGUGUUAGUGAGUUAUAUGAUCUCAUGGUCAUAGGAACAAAUACUUGACACGCAGAAAACAGUAGCAACAAAAUGACACGAUCAACAUGCUACGUCUAUUAGUUUGGGUCUAGUCUAUCACGUGAUUCUCCUAAUGACGUGAUCUAGUUAUCAAGCAACGACACCUUGUUCAUAAUCAGAAGACAGUGGCUAUCUUUGAUCAACUGGCUAGCCAACUAGAGGCUUGCUAGGGAUAGUGUUUUGUCUAUGUAUCCACACAUGUAAAUGAGUCUUCCUUCAAUACAAUUAUAGCAUGGAUAAUAAACGAUUAUCUUGAUACAGGAAUUAUAAUAAUAACUAUAUUUAUUAUUGGCUCUAGGGCAUAAUUCCAACAACCUGGACUAGUGCGCGGACACUAGUAGCCCCGUCCACACCGGCAAGGCUUGUCGCUGGAGCAUAGGGCGGAAGCAAGGCUCGGAAGCCCACCAAGUGCAGGCUGCAAUCCCCCGGCAAGUGCCCGCAUAUUGGGAAUGAAGAAGAGAUCCCGAUAGGAGCUCCCGUUUGGGAAGAUAGACACUGCCAAGGCGAGACCCUCCCGCCAAGGAAGAAGGACUGAGCCCCGGCAAGCCAUCACCUCCCAGAGGCAUCACCUCCCUCCUGGCCUACCUUGACGGGAAGAUUGACAAGGCCUCGGCAGGCCAUCACCUCCCAGCCGACAGGAACAAGAAGAGUCCCCGGCAAGGUAACCCUGCCGGGAAGGAAAAGAAGGCAUCUAUUCAUUCAUUCAUUUGUCUAGAUACAUUUGAUUCCACUUACAAAGUGUUGUUGUCCUAACCUAAAGGUUGUGUCUUUUGGCGAGGGACAACCUAUGCAAAGGAGUGAAGUUCAAGAACAAAAAAAGGCGGAGCCCGCGGCGCGGCUAGGGCUGGCUACCCAGAACCAGCAGUGUGCCGACGAGAACGGGAUCAGCUCCAGCAAGCACCGCCCGGCCCUCCUCUGGACGGAUUCCAGAGAGCAGGGCAUAGGAAGGGGCGAAGGAUCCGAAGCCUCCUCCUGGAACCAGGGGGCCAACACCCUCUCCGGUGAGGUGGCCCAAGCAUUGGGCAUGGAGAAGUCAGAGCUUGCGGAGGUGCCUCCCUCGCGAACACGAGGCACCGAUGCCAGCUCCGGCAAGGUUCCCCCACUAGGCGGGGGUAGGGCGUGAGCGGGCCCCGGCGGCAGGGCCAGCAGUGAGUCGUAGCUCGGGGAGUCGUACUCCGACUUGACCCCCCCCACGGAUCCCGACCUGCCAAGAGCACCACUGCCGCCGUUGUCCCCCUCGUCGCUAUCACUCGAGGAGGGACACUUGGCUUCGCUCGAGCCCUCUUCGCAGCAGCCGAGACGCAUACCUGUGCGCCCGUAAAACUUGACGGAUAGCAUAUUAUCCUCCGCUAGCUUAAAGCGAAGGAUCUGCCCAUCCUCGAGGCUAUGGGCGCGGGAGAAGGCUUUCCAGCCCCGCCCAAGCAGCAUGGAGUGGCGCUUUGGAUUCUCCACGCAUGCCUGCAUGGCGCCAUGGGAGCAGCCGGGCGCCCGCAACCACAAGAAAGGGGGCUUGGCGGCCUCCAUCGCCCUAGCGAAAGGGCGGGGGAGGUGCAGAUGACCCUGCAAAGCGUCGUGUAGCUCCACGACAAACUCCAGCGCCGUUCCAUCCGAGUGCCCGACAAGCCCAGGGGAAGGCGGAGACGUUGGAGUAGCACUCCGCCUCCCUUGGCCACGUCCCCCGCGUCCUCGGCCCCUCAAGCCUCUCCGGUCAUGGUCGACGGGUCUGCCGCUGGCUGCAGCCCUAGAAGUUGUGGCAUGAUCCGAGCGGGAUCCCCUUGCCACCCUGGCGCCUAGCGGAGGCUGGCCCCGUCCCCUAACCAUUGUUAUGGACGGGUGCCACCGACAAUGUUGAAAAUAAGCAAGAGAGACAAGGCGAUAGGCGUUGAAGGAUUUGAGAGUGAGAUGGAUGGGCAAAACCUCCGCGCAAACACCCGAAUUUACAGGGCAAAUCUCGAAGGCCACCCUUCUCGCUCCAGAAGCCACCGCCCCUCUCGCCCGUUCGCCCUCAAGUCAUGAGCGGAACUUGGAACCACCCUGAUCGCCACUUGCCCGAUCGCCGCUGCGCAUGCCCUACACGUGGUAGAAGCGUUUUCAAGGAAUAAAGGGGCCAUCACGCGCACGCCACGCACCCUCCUACUUCGCGUGAUGAGCCCGGCGCGUGCGAGUCCACGCACCGCUUUGGGCCUGGCCCAACAACACCUCGCAAGCGUGUGUGGACCAGGUCCGAGGGCUCGUGUCGAUGUACCAAAGACCGGGGUCUCCAGUGCCCCGGACUAGUGCGCGGACACCGGCAACCCCCUCCACAGCGGCAAGGCGCGAAGCUGGAGCAUAGGGCGGAAGCAAGGCUCGGAAGCCCACCAAGUGCAGAGUGCAAGCCCCCGGCAAGUGCCCGCUUGUUGGGAAUGAAGAAAAGACCCCGACAGGAGCUCCCCGCUGGGAAGAUAGACACUGCCAAGGCAAGACCCUCCCGCCAAAGAACAAGGACUGAGCCCCGGCAAGCCAUCCUUGUCAGGAAGAUUGACAUGGCCUCGGCAGGCAAUCACCUCCCUGCCGAGAGGAACAAGAAGAGGCCCCGACAAGGUAACCCUGUCGGGAAGGAAAAGAAGGUCGGAAGAGAGGCGGGGGGCCAGCUCGACUUCGCUUCCUGUGAACGCCUCCAUCGACGAACACACCAUCGCCGAUGCAUGGACCACACGUCCGCCCACACGCGAGCGGAACACCCCGAAGUUGCCACGUGUCGGUACAUGUCCAACCCCCCUGACGAGGUCAGGAAGUCUGUGGAAGCAUGUAAUGCACCGCAGUAAAACUGUGGCGGUCAGUCGGCCCUCUUCCAGUCGUGAACCCACCGUUCACUCGUUCAGCCACUAUGGUGAUCCCUUCGACUAUAAAAGGAGGCCCGAGGCUUAGUAGAAAGAACUUUUGGAUUUUUGACCAAUCGGAAGGCUGUAAGAGGGACAGAUCUAUAGUAAACUAAAACAAAUAACUAAACACAUGCAGGAGUGGGGUUUUAUGCACAAUGCGGCCCGGCCGUGGGUAAAAACGACCUUGCUAGGCCCUGACUGUUGGUUCUGCUCUUGCCGCGACCCCUCUCCCUGCCAAACUAGCAAAAGGGGACCGUUGAGGCCCCCAUAGGUGUCGAUCAGUUCACCGACACAAGGCCUUUACCCUAUUUGUUUAUUCCCCCAAGAUCCCUAGACAGGACUGGUCGCGGCCAUGGCACAAUGGGCAUGCCAUAGCUUGCCAAAUAGGCGCUCUCGAGCGUGCUACAAUGCACUUCUGCACUUGAGCUGCUGCCCAAUGGCAAGCCCAGGCAACAUCCGGCCUCUCCCUGGUGUCCUCCGAGGUGCCCUCUACAUCGUCACACGGCACUUAGUCGUCCCCCUCCUACUCUCCCCCUACUGUCUCUCCACGCGCGUGCCGAGCACCGCCCGGGCGGCCUAUGAGCUCGCUCACACGCAUAAUGCCCAUGGCCUCUCGCCACUCCUUUCCUCCCUUCCUCCCAUUCUAGACCAACACAAGGAGCACCUCUGACACACCCCUGCUCACCGCCUAUCCCUCCAGCAUGGGCUAGGUCCUCGCCAGCGCACUAGCGUGCCGUGGAACUCGGUUGGGCUACAAAAGCCAGCCCCGACCCCUUCCUCUCCAUCUCUGGCUUUCACGUACCCCCAAUCGCACUCCCACAUAUUUCCCCUUAAUUUUGGAGCUCCUACGCUCGGUAUCGAGCAUAAGCUCACGGCCUCGAGCCUCCGGCGUUUCCGUGGUAAAGCUCCCCCUUAGCUCCCAUUCUUCUUUGAUCUGGAUCCAACUCGACCUCUUGAACCAUUUGCCUCUGUUUCCCCCUCUGUUUGGUGCCUAGGACGGCCGGAGCUUCCUUUUCGAGCAGCACCACCACCGUACUUUCACGUCAUCAACGAACCAGGGGCCUCCGACGCUGCCCUCCGUUGCCUUCCAAUAUGGACAACCCCUGGAGCCCAACAGUGCCCACCAGCCCUCUUGCCAUCACCGGGGACACCUCGGUGAGCUCCACCACCACCCGUGGUGCAAGGAUGGAGAUGACAGGUAGGCCCCGCCUAUAAUACACCCUUUCCUCCCUCUAUCUCUCUAUGGCAGAUGGAUUCCACCGGUCAGGUUCAAACUCCAACCGACGUGCACCCCUUUGCCCACUAGGCCGAUUCCUUUAGGCCAGCUCGGGCCCCCCCUGUGUGGCGGCCGAGUGGAAGCAGUGUUGCUUUUCUUUUCUUUUAUUUAAUCUUGCAAAAAUUUCCUAGACUUAAAUAUUUAUCCAAAUGCAAUAAUUAGAAUUCCUAAUUUUUUCGAAAAAUUCAACCUAUUUAUUGGUGCCACUUGUGGAUUUUUUACAAAAAAAUUGAUACAUUGUUUGUAUUUAAAACCUAGUUUUGAAUAUUUUAAGCAUCUGCUAAAAUUCAUUAUGUUACUUUUUGCACUCCAAAACCAAAAUAUUUUAAUUUUUACAAAGCUUAUAUUCACCCUACUAUUUUACAGAAAGGUGUGACAUUUGGAAGAUUUUAUUUUCUCUAUUUUUGUCUUGGUCUUAUUAUUCUCGUAAUAAUUGUGAUGAUAGAUUGUGUUGUUGAUGAAGGAAUUGGACCAGAAGACUUUGAAGACCCCAAAGACUUUGUUGAGCCUGGCAAGCAACCCCUUUACCAUGACUUGAAACUCGUUUUGCAUAGAAAAUAGCACCUACUUUGUUGCAUUGGAUCAUGAAGACUAUGGUGCCGGCUUUAUGUGUUGCCUCCAUUAAUUCCUCAUUGAUACUUGCAUGACAAGCUCUACUUGUGCUUAGACUUGUGUGGUUGGGAAGUAGAUAUAUUGUUGUGUAGUCGCUACGGAAAUGGGAUGGGAUUAUGCAUGGUGUGGGAAAUAGCGGUGUUUUCAAAGACUUUUCGAAAACCCUAUCGGGUGGCACUUAUGCAUGAGGGAGAUGGUGUUGAGGUAGGUAAACACUUGAAAAGAAGUGUUUUACCGAGGCAAGUGAGUGUGUUGUUUCCGAAAACAGAUUGGUUUAUGUUGCGACCGUUACUCCAACCUUACAUGUAUAACCACGAUACACCUUAUGAGAUGGGGCUUCGUUGAUUCUUUUGAUUGGUACUAGAUGAGUGCCCGCAUUACUAGUGGCGGGGGCAACAUGGUUAUUCUCGAUACAGGGUCGUGCCGGAAAGGACAACCAUAGGUUGAUUUCACAGACAUCGGGCACACUGUUGCGUGCCCUCGUGGAUGAUACUUGUGAUGUACAUCAUGAGGGCUGGCCCCAACGAGUGGACUCUUGGUUAGUAUCGUCAUGGGAAUGGAAUUGUGCGGGUACUUACCUCGGGUAUGGAAAAUACCGCUAGUCGUGGAUUGAUAGGGAAGUUUCCCGAGUCUUGUUGGUAAAGUGUACAACCUCUGCAGAGUGUAAAACUAUUCGAAUGGCCGUGUUCACUGUCAAGGACAGUUGGAUGACCGCCCUUGUCUACGUCUAUUGUACAAAAACUCUGUGUGUGUGUGGGGGAUCGAUAUAAGAUGUGUCUAGAGGGGGGUGAAUAGACUACUUGUCAAGAUAAAAUUCCUAGCCUAACCCAAAUUCUAGUAGGGCAGAAAUUCAUAAGUUCUAACAAGUCUAGUGCACCCUACACAUGCUAGUCAACACAUAUGGCAGCGGACAAGUAAAGACUUUGCACAUGUCAAGGAGUAGAGGUUAGGAAGAUCAACCGCAUGAGGUUGACACGACGAUUUUUGGCAUGGUUCCAAUAGGUGGCGCUAUUGUACGUCCAUGUUAGUGUAGACUUCAACCCACGGAGGGUAACAACUGCAAGAGUCCACGGAGGGCUCCACCCACGGAGGGUCCACAAAGAAGCGUCCUUGUCUAUUCCACCACGGCUUACGUCCACGGAGGACUAGCCUUACUCAUGGUAGAUCUUCACGAAGUAGGCGAUCUCCUUGCCCGUACGAACAUUUUGGUUCAACUCCAUAACACGAAGUAGGAGGCUCCCAAGCGACACCUAACCAAUCUAGGAGGCACCAACCUCCAAAAGGUAAUAGAUGUGGUAGAUCAAUGAACUCCUUGAUCUUAUGCUUAUAAAGAUAGUCUCCUCAACACAAAUCACUCUCUAACAGAAUAUGCAUCGGUAGGAGAUAUUGAUUUGGUGGAAAGUAGUUUGGGGAGGCUAGAGAUCAAGUUUCAAAUGAUAGGAUUGGAAUAUCUUGGUCUCAACACGUGAGUAGGUGGUUCUCUCUCAGAAGAUGGAUUUGGCAAUGAAGUGUUUGUUCCGAGUGCUUCUCCCAUGAAUGAGAACUGGGUGAAGGGGUAUAUAUAGGCAGCAGCCAAAAUCCAACCGUUACACACAAAAAGGCAAACUAGGUGACACUGAAGUUGAAAACUUGGUAGUACGGAUUAGCACUAAAAGUGUGAACUUUUGAAUAUUGGUGAGAGUGAUAUACGAAACUUGGUGGCACUGAAAACGUGACUAACCGUCAGAUGGACAAACUCGGUGGCACCGAUACUCAAACUCGAAAAUUGCGAUUUUGUGUAUCUUGGCAACAGAAUGUUGGUCACAAUAAACUCGGCAGGACCGACUCGGUUUUUGUUGCACCGAUUUGGUGGGAAUUCCUAGGGUUUCUGUGUGAGGUCAAACUCUGUGGGUCCGGCAUGGAAAUGUUGGUGACACCGAAUUUGUGUAUCUGGAUAUUGACAGAGUGGAUAUGUGGGGAAAAUGACUGAGUGUUUUGUUGGCUAUCUUUGAGCAUUUGAGCAAUCAUUUGAUUUUACUAGCUCACCCCCUUUUAAUAGUAUUGGCUUGACGAUGAGCUUAAAAUUUAUUUCUCAUAAAUACAAAAUAAAGAGUCUUCUAGCUUCAAGCUUAAGCGAACAUUGUUCCCUACUUGCAUCAAGGGGCAUCUCCACAUAAACCUUAAGCCAUGGCUCUCCAUGGACUUUUCCUGAAAUAUCUAGGUAAAAGUGUUAGUCCAAGAGACACUGUAUGUUGUCAUGAAUUAUCAAAAUCACCGAGGGAGCAUAUAUGCUUUCAGUGUGGUGUGAAAAGAUGAUAUAUGAGCCAUGGUAGAUGACUUGGCAUGAUGACGGAACAUGAGAUGUUCCUCCCCCAUUUAUGUUGAUAUCGGUGACUUGUUCACAAGGAUAUCGGUUACCCCAUGAUGCAUGCCUUCAUAUGAUGUUGAUCAUGUCAUUGCACUUAAAACUAGCUUUCUCCAACUUACCUACUUAGUGUGAUAUCAUGCAUUAUUAUUGCCUUGGUCCAAAUAUGGGUUGCUUGCGAGUACAUUAAAAGUACUGAUUAGCUUGGAAAUGGAUAUUUAAUUGGCCAUGCAUGGAAGAGCAGUAGUUUGAUGAAGAGUUUGUUGGAGACGAACAUGCGAACUAGGAUUCUUCCCUGUUAGAAUACAUAUAAGGUUAAGGCACAUGGAAUGGGUUCAAGUGUUUAGGAUUUGCACUACUAGUUAAGUUUGGUGUGUUGGCCUUAGAGGACCUAUCUACGUAAGGCUUACCUCAGUUGUCUUUAUUUGUAUCAGACGGUAUGUACGAAUGCAAGACUCUUGUUAUUCAACUUUAGUGUGUGUCGAUGAGCAUUGAUCUAUGGGAUCACUGUACAUCUGCAUUGGGUGAUCACGACUUAUUAGUCGGGGUUCCCACGGAGCUAGUAUCGGAGCCAUCCUAAUUGUAGGACGCCUUGGUUAGCAUGGACGUUAAUUAGUACAAACCCCUUGCACAAACUAUACCUAGGACCUAUACUUAGGAGUUUAUGCGCUUCUUGCCUCUUCUACUCUACUGCCAAAACCUUAUUGACACCCCUCCCCUUUCAAAUCUUUGUAGAUGGUCGUCAUACUCGAAGAACUCCUAACAUCCGGCUUACUCCUACUCCUGGAGGAGAGCGUAGAGAAGUGCUAGAUCCGACGAUCCCUUGUUUUCAUCUACCAUGAGCACUCGAUCCAUGAAACCACAAAGGAGUACCACGUUGAUUUGGUCGUGAAGGAAAACGACUCCCCGACGAGUUGGUUCUUUGAAGGACCAUAGAUGAAUACCUUGGUGAUCGCAAUCAAGACGACUGCACGGAAGGCACUCAUCCACCAUUGAGAUAUCAUCCAAGAGAUGGCUGACAAGCUGGCUACAAGGCACUUUCCCAUCUAAGGAGGAUGGAACACCACUCAGACUCUAGACCUACUUCAGCCUCUCCACCGACAGUGUGGCUCACAACCUGAUCAGGGAGUCCGUGAAACUUCGCAAGGAACUUCACCAUACCAAUGAGCUAUUUCUACUAGGCAAGGUGAAGCGAGGAAAGAUUAAGAAGGAUGGAUCCCACGAGGGAUGACCAACUAUCGCUUAUACAGGAGGAGUAUCCCUAGCUAGAGUUGCACUUACUCCGGGAGCAUCUCGACGACAUCGCAUCAGUGCGAAUGAGUUUUAUGCAGUCUAUGCUGACCCACCGGAGAAGCGUCACCGUCAUAGGCCUCCUCGUUCUCCGACCCCCUCGAGUGGAGAAGAUGCCCAUACAGGAGAUGACCAGGAGGAUGACCCGGAGGAGCGUGAGUACGAGAUCGAUCACUCCACCACUUAAGUCCGAGAACCCCUUGGGUAGGACAAGUCAUGUAUGCCUCAUGCGAAGUCAAGUCCGUGUAAUGGUUAAUAUGAAACCAAGUGUGAUUGUUGUUUGCUUUGUUGUUUGUGUUUCGAUGCAAGUCGCACUUUUGCCUUGGGCAACAUGUAAGCGACCACAUCUCCUAUCUUAUCUUAAUGCUAGGUGGUUGGUCUUUCGAACUUUGUUUUAUCACACUUGCACUAUACCAACCCCCUUAGGCACGUUUCCCUCUUGUUGCUUUUAUCUCUUGCCUAUUUUAGUUGUUUAACUUGGCUACUGCAACCAGGAUCGUGACUGCAACACGCACCAAUAAAUUUUGUAACCCCAGCACCAACAACUCUAGCUAGUAACCGGAGGCUGGUGGGUCUGCUCAAGUUGGAGGUCACUAGGGGCAGCCACAGGGCGGCAUUCCCCCGCCACCACCUCCAUCGGUGAACAUGACCAUAGCUUAGUUUCUCUAGGUGCUUAGGGAGGAACGCCAAGCUAACACUGCCGCUAUCAAGUAGAUGGCUCAAGUCCUUGUGAAAAACGAGCACCUAGGCACGAAAGGCAAUGUCCAUUCCACUAUGUCGGAGUUCGUGAGGAAUUACCCCCAACAUUCAUCAGGACUGCUCAACCCCUAGACGGCGAUGACAGGAUCUGCACCAUUAAGGACCUCCUUGCAUUAGCCAACUACAAUGAGGAUCGUUUGAAGGUUCUUUAUUCAUCUCACUGCUUGGAGGCACGGCUAGAGCUUGGUGGGAUGGAUUCAAUGUCAUGCAAGGUGACUAUGUGAUCAGUUGGGCUGAUUUCAAGCCAGGUUUCCCCACUGCCCACAUUUCUUCAGGAAUCAUGGCUAUCGAAAAGCGGGUAUUUUGAGCGCUGAAGCAAGGAAGUGGCUUUUUCAAGGAGUACCUGCAGAAGUUCACCUGAAGAUGUCAGCACUAAGGCAACCAAGAUAGAACAAUUUAUGCAAGGACUCCAGCAAGCACUGCAGUAUCAACUAAUUGUCUGCGACUUUCGGACCUUCUUCGUGUUGGUGAACAAGGCCCUCAUGCUUGAGGAUAAGCGUCAUAUCAUGGAAGACACCCACAAGUGCAAGAUGAUAAACAAAGGUAGUUCCAGCAACUGAAAGCCUCACCCUUGGCAACCAGCCCCAGCUAAGCCAAGCUAUCAGCCUUAGCGAGUCAGGACUCCUCAACCUUGUCCAAGCUACCAGCCUAGGCAGUAUGCCAAUCCAAGGUCGGCAUACAAUAACCCCAAUAACAACGCUUCUAGCAAGACCAACAACUUCAGGUAGGUCACGUGCUUUGGGUGUGGUCAGGCUGGACACAUCUCGACGGAGUGGCCCAACAAGAAGCCAGAUGCACCUGCCUGAUAACCCACAAGUAUAGGGGGUCUUGAUAGUCUUCACGGGUAGUAUUUCACCCUAAUUUAUUGAUUUGACACAAGGGUCGCCAAAGAAUAUUUAUUGGCAGUAACAGUUGAGUUAUCAAUUGAACCGCACUUGGGAUAUCCUUCUACAUCAAGUAUUUAGUACUACAACAAGUGAUAGUUGUAACAGUAACAGUGAUAGCAAUGAUCUUGGUAAGAGUAAUAGCAAUAGCAAUUUAGUAGCAGGUGUGACAGUAGCAAUAACAGUUGUAACUUAGUAAGAUUCAGUAUAUGUAAUGCAUAGGCACGUGGAUCAACAGUGAAUAAUGAUUUAGAUGUCAUUUAUCAUAUAACAAUUACACACUAGGGCGACACAGAACUAGCUCCAAUUCAUCAAUAUAAUGUAGGGAUGUAUUCGGUAUAUAGUCAAACGUGCUUGCAAUAAGAAAUUGCAUGACAUCUUUGUCCUACCCUCGUUUGGCAGCGGGGUCCUAUUGGAAACUGAGGGUUAUUAAGGCCUCCUUUUAAUAGAGAACCGGAACAAAGCAUUAACACAUAGUGAAUACAUGAACUCCUCAAACUACGGCAAUCACUACAAAGAAUCCCAAUUAUUGUCACCUUGGGGUAUGCGGAUCAAGACACGUAAUAUGUAACUAUAACUUGCAAGAUAGGAUCCAAAUCACUCUUGCAUUCAUGAAAACAUAAUAGGUUCACAUCUGAAAGCAUGGCACUCAGUCCCUAGUGAAAUGCAUUAAGCAUAUCAAAGUCAUAGUAACAUCAUUCUCAGAACAUAGUGGAUACUAGGAACCAAGCCAUAUCAAACUUAACUCGAUCACAUGAUUAAUCUCAUCCAAUCCCACCGCUGUCCAUCAAGCCUACAAAGGAAGUACUCACUACCGGUAGUGAUCAUCAUGGUGGUGUUGAUGGACAAGGGUUGGUGAUGACGACGACGACGACGACGAAUCCCCCUGUUUGGAGCCCCAAAUGGACUCCAGAUCAGCCGUCCGGAGGAAGAACACGAUGUGGUAGUGGCUCCAUCUCGUAGAAAGUGAUGAAAACUUCUUCUAUUUUCUUCUUAUAGAAUAUAAAUUUAUAGGAGUGGAAUUAGGGUGAGAGGAGCCUCGGGGCCCCACAAGCCGUCAGGGCGUGGCCUAUGGGGCACCUUGGUUGCUUGUGGCCCCCUGGCACUUCCUUUAUGGCAGGUCUUCGCUCCAUAAAUCGUUGUAAAUUCCAAAAAAUAAUUCACAAAAUUUUUCACCCGAUUCCGAGAACUUCUGUUUUUGCACGAAAAACAGCAAAGUAAUUCUGCUGAAAACAGCGUUAGUGCAGGUUAGUUUCAUUCAAAUCAUGGAAAUUAGAGGCCAAAACCAGAGAAAAAGUGUUUGGUAAAGUACAUACAUUGGAGACGUAUCAACUCCCCAAAGCUUAACUCGUUGCUUGUGCUCAAGCAAUUCAAUUGAUACAGUAGAAGUGAUAAAGAAAACUUCUACAAACUCUUUUGUUCUCGUUAUUAUAAACAUGCUUAGCUAGUGUUCAAGUUUUCAUCAUAAAUCAUAAAUAAACACAUCCAUCAUGAUAAUAUAAGCAUCAUAUCCAAUUAUGGAAAUAGAUAACCAACUAGUAAGCAAUAAUAAGAUAUCUCACAUUCCAACAAUUUGUCAAAGAAUCACGAUUUAAUAUGGUCACAUGGUAUCUUGCUAGCCCUUUCUGAGACUGCAAUUCAUAAAUGUAGAGCACCUAUGAGAUCAAGAGUACUAAAUAUUAUAAAGCAGAAUAGAAAACAUCAUAGUCAUGCUCAUCACCAAUAUUGACUAGACACAAUGCGAAAAAUGACAAUAGUUCUCUCUGGUCAGGUGAUUUUAGCAAGAGGGCGAUGACUCAAAAUAAAAAGUAAAAUAGGUACGCCCUUCGCAGAGGGAAGCAUUGAUUUGCCACAGUGCCAAAGCUCAAAUUUUAAAGAAGAGUAGGAAUAGUUUUUGAGUGGUGUUCUUUACUGUCAACAUCAUGACAAAGGUUUUAGUAUCUUCCAUGCUAACCUCAUUAUAGUUGGUUCCCAAACGGAAUUGUGAAGUUUUACUCCCAUCCACCAUCCAUACAAAACCAUGGCUAGCCAAAUUCAUGGGUGCCCUCCAACAUAUCAUCUUGCCCAAGGAGUUCUAUUUUAAUUUAGUUUUGGUUAAGCAGGGUUGGACACCCUUGUUACCAACCUCCCUCGUGCAAUGAUGGGGAAUAAACGCCUGUAUUGAGAGUAACUUACUUAGCAUGGAAGAUAAUUGUUGCCCCAUCGCUCCAUGAGCGGUACGAGUGCACAAAAUAGAAGUUUAUUUCAAAGUUUUUAGAGGUGGCACAUGCAAAUUUAGUUGGAACGGCAUGGUAAUACUCCAUAUAGGUAGGUACGGCAGACUUAUGUGGACUAACUUGGUUUUAAGGAUCUUGGAUGCACAAGCAGCAUUCUCGAUUAGUUCAGGUGGAAGCUACCAAAAGAUUGAGAAGCAACCAACUAGAGAGCAACAAUGGUCAUGAACUCACAUGGGAGGGUCCAUCCAUGUGGAGUGCUACUGUAGCCGCUAAAAGAGACUUCCAUAACCCCUUUUUUGCAGAGGUGGUCUUCACUGCAUGUUGGAACAUCGGGACUAUCAGAAAUGCAAAGGUCUUUAACGAGGAGCAUCCAAAGUUCAGAAAAUGGAGAUCUGGCUUCAUCCAUGACAUUUCCCUGUUAGCUCACAGAAUUAAGGCUAGUUUCAGGGAUGAUCUCCUUAAAUGGGUUUCCUUUUUGCCUCCUUGAGGUGUGUAGCCUUAGCUCCUCAUCCCAUUUGUACAUUCUAAUUUCUUCUUGUACAUACUGCUCUUAUAUAUGGGAAUAAAAGAAAAAAAGCUAUGGGGGGUUUUCCCUACACUAGCCGGUCAACAAAAACAAUGGUCAUGAACAUGCAAUGAAAAUAGUCAACUUUGGACAAAGCAUGAGUAGGAUAUAAACAUUCUCAAUUUAAAUAUCAUGAAGGCUGCAUUGUUUUUGAAUCAACUGCAUAUUCACACAUGGGCCAAGCCGAACUGAUUGAAUUACUUAGAGGAAUAUACCAUGCUACCAUAUCACAUCAUAACCAUUUUACUGCCUAUUGACACACACAGUAAAUCAUUACCAACUCCUAGCUAUUUAAGCAUGGCAUGAAAAGCUAUAAUCUCUAAUUGUCAUAACAAACAUGUUCACUCAUGAUAUACUGAAUCAAGAUCGAACGAGCUAACAUAUUAAAAGAAACAAGAAAAAGAAAAGUCCAUACCCAUUUCCUUUGCCACGAUCACUUCAUCAAAUAUCUUAUUAUUGCCUUUCACUUGCACGACCAAAUGAUGUGAUAAUAAUAAAAGUGCAAGGGUGUCGUGGACUAAGGUGGAAUCUACAGGGCAAUUUUAAACAAAGGAGAAUACAUGAUAAUAUUGGCUCUUCGUUAGCUGAACAACAAAGCAUGUUGGAGCCACUCAACAUUUUCAUCGUAGUCUUCUCCUUCUAUAACACAUAAAACGGGAAAAGAAUGUUAGAGAAACAUGCUAAAAUAUUUUUGUAGUUUUUAUUUUUCUCACGCAAGUAAAAUAAACUACGGGAAAACAGGAAUGAGAAAAACUAUUCACACGGGAAAGCUCCCAACAAGCAAGAGGAAAUCUUUUUGGGUUCUCUUUUAAUACUACCAAUAAUUGAAAAGGAAAUAAAAACAGAAAAGAAAUGUGAAAUAAGUUUUUUCAACACACAAGAAGAAAGCGGGACAAAAAUUAAGCUAAGCAUGAAUAUACAAUGAAAGAGGAUGAACAUUGACAUUUCAUAUGAAUUGCGCGAACAUGAAUGUAACGUCGCUGGGAAAUAUGUAUUCCCCCAAGCUUAGUCCUUUUCCUAGCUUGGUAAUCACAACUGGUAGCUUGGAAGUGGUUGAUAUGAUAACUUGUUGGGGCAUUCCUGGCCGCCUCUUACACCAGGCGCGGAGCCUCUACUGCAGCAUUGUACUCCAGCACUUCGUUCUCAAGAAUGUAGUAUCUCUCGUAAGCCGGAAAAUUGAGGAGGGCACGUGUAGGCAAAAUAACACGCAAUGACGUGUACUUUGCAAAAAUUAAGUUAUAAUCAUGAUAAUGCAUAGCUUCGAAGUCUAAAUAUCUAUUAGGCAAAAUAUGAUCAAUAAAUUGGGGUGCCACUCCGAAUUGUGCAGCUAGACUCGAGGCAUAAAUUCCUCCAUAUGAAUCAUCAUUGGUAUAGUUGGAAUGCAACCUUUGAGCCAAAAUUGCACCAAGGUUAUAGUGUCGAUCACCAGUCACAAGAACAUGAAUAAGGCUCAAGUCGGGGGCACAUAGCAAACUGCAAUCUUGUUUCUCUACUACGCAUUUCCCAUUAAAUAGUGCAAAGUAGAGGAUAGAGGGAAAAUGAAUGCUUUUAAUUCUACCCUCCGUUACUAAACUAGUUUCUCCAACUCAGACGGUAUCAAGAAACGUAUUAUAAUAAGUUUUUGGAGGUUUCUCUAGUGAACCCCAAAGUAGAAGUUUGCAUGCAAUGGAAAAUUCUUCUAGACACAUGCUAAAGGCUUUAUCAUAGAGAGUAAAUAAUACUCUCGAAGUACUAGAGAGAUAACGAAAUCCAUUUGUGAAAGUGAAUGUAAGGUUGUAAUGUUAGGUACACUUAUCUUCGUGGAAAUCGGUGAGCCUAGUAUUGUAAAUGAAAUGAUCAAAUUGCUCCUUCAUACCCGCACCAUUCAUGAACUUAUGCCUUGGCCACCAGCAUGAUUUUCGGCCAGCCAUGAUUUCUUGAUUGGCCCGAGCCUGAAUGUAAGCGUGUUGUGUCGAGCCCUCGCUCGAUGAUUCACUAGGAUUACGCCUUCUCGAGGAGCUUCUCCUAAAGAAACUCAUCGCCCUUAGUACAAAUUUAUCAAUGGGGAUUUUCAUAUCCCCAAUAACAAGAUUAUAGUAUUUAUUUUCCUUGGUAAUAGGUAAUGGGAUUUGAAGGUGUCCGAUGAUGACUAUGGCACAAGGCUCAAUAACAUGAAUAUUAUUAACCAAAUUUUUUGUUUUUAGGAAUAUGCACGGAAUGCUGCUUGCCAUUGACAUUGAAGGUAACCUUGAUUUUGUUGCAAUCAAUAAAAGCCCGUGCAGUAUUUAAAAGGGUCUACCAAGGAUGAUCAACAUAUUGUCGUCCUCGGGCAUAUCACGAAUAACAAAGAUUGUUAAGACAGUAACAUUUGCAACCACAACGGGAACAUCGUCGCAAAUUCCAAUAGGUAGAGUAGUGGAUUUACCAACCAUUUCCAAAGAUAUCUUAGUGGGUGUAAGCUUAUUCAAUUCAAGUCUUUUAUAAAGGAACAAAGGCAUAACAUUAACACCUACUCCUAGAUCCCAUAAAGAAGAUUUGACAUAAUUUCAUUUUAAGGAGCAAGUUAUAGUGGCGAUACCCGCAUCUCCCAUCUUAUUAGGUACUCAACCAUCAAAAUAAUAAUUAGCAAGUAUGGCGGCAAUUUGAGUUUCAGGUAUCUUACUUUUGUUGGUAGUAAUAUCCUUCUUAUACUUAGCAUACAGAGGCAUUUUUAAUAUAUCAUGCAAGCGAGUAUGCAAAAAGACAGGACUAAUCAUUUUAGUAAAGAGUUCAAAAUCUUCAUCAUCCCUACUUUUGGAAUACUUUUGAGGGAAUGGCAUAGGUUUUUGAACCCAUGGUUCUCUUUCCUUAACAUAUUUUCUAGCAACAAAGUCUCUCAUAUGAUAGUGUUUAUUCUUAGGAGGUUGGUUAUCAAGACCCUCAGCAGGUUCUAUCUCUAUAGCAUUAUCAUGUUAUUUAUUACUAUCUAGUGGAACAUCUACAUGCAGCCUAUUAUUCUCACCCUCAUUUUUAUUAUCAAUAGGUGCAUGUACACAACCAGAUUGGACCUCAACAUCAGAAAUAGAAACAUCACUGUGAUUCUCUAUAUGUUUUUCUAUCUCCGGUUCAUUCGGAGCAUGCAAAGUCCUAUCAUCUUUCCUUUUCCAUUUCUUCUUAGAAGGACUAUUUGUACCAUCGUUCAUUCUCUGAGAAUCCAGUUUAAUUCUUUCAACGUGACCUUCAUGACAAAGAGGCUCUUGAGUCAUUCUACCUCCUCCAGUCACUACUCUAACAGCAUGAUCAAUAAUAUUAUUCAUCUCUAUAAACAAUGUAACAUCCCAAAUAUAGGAAUGUUAAUAUAAUUAUUAUAUUGUUUGUUUGUUUGCUUGAGUGAUUGAAACUUGAGUGAAAUUUGAGACUUUUCAAAAACUUUUGAAUGAGAGGGAAUAAAAAUGACUUUCCCCUUCUCCGGUGAAUUCAAAUUCAAUCUUUUAAAAGCAAAGAGAGAAGAUGACAUGACUUCUUCAACUAUAAAUAAUUUAAACGGAGAUAUUUGCAUUUGAAUUCUUUUGCAUUUCUAUUCGUUUUCUUCGUGCAAGAAAUGCCGGGAAAUACAUUGUGUCAAACAGAAAAGAGAGGAGGAACAUGACCCUCAAACACCCGGGCAUUUUGAAAGUUAUUUGAACCCUAAAACUUAGAGGGUCAUUUGAAAAUUAUUUGCAAAAGAAAAUAAAUCUUUUAGGAAAUUUUGUGAAAAUAAUUUUUUCUGAAGUUUUUAUUUUUGCCGUGGAAAAAUGCCCAUCUUUUAGAUUUUAUUUUUCUGGUAAUUUUAGUAUAUGGAAACUCUAUUUUCGGAAUUGAUUUGAUUUCCUAAAUUCUCCUUUUACAAUCCUGUUUUAUUUAAAAGGAAAAUUUUCCUAUAUUAGGAAAAUCGCCGGAGGCCCAAUAGGUAGGUUUGGGCCCGAUUCCCUUUCUUCUUCCCCUGAUCAUCUCCUUCCUUCUCUGUACAGGAACCUUCCAUCAAUGGAGGAAGGAAUCCUCUCCUUCCCGAUCUCCCUCUUCCUUCCUUCCGGACGCCAUCCGAGGCCGCCUAUAAAUCCCCACCGUCCUCCUCUCUCCGUUUUUCCCUUUCCCAACCCCAUCUCCCCUCGCCGGAGCCACUGCCCAGGACGAGCCAGCAGCACCUGCACGAGCUCCCCAUCGCCUCUGCCUCGCCCCAGCCCCACCUCACCCCCCUGGCACCCCUGCCUCUCCUCGCCACCACUUCGGCCUCCCCUCCGCCGCCCCACCCCACCCCACCCCCUUGCCCNNCAGCCUCGCCCGGAGCUGGUGCUCCUCCCCAUCGCCACGACCAGGAACUCCUCCCGUCGCCCCCCCCCCUGCACCCCUCGCCACUCCNUCUCCUCCGCCGUCCCCACCCCCCCGCAGGCGCCCCCCACGCCGGAGCUGCUUCCCCGUGCCAGCCACCUCGCCGGAGAAGGCCUCCAGCCACUGCUGCGUUCAUCCACGGUAAGGCUUCUCCUCCUCCUGUUUUUAUUUUUUCUUUUUUUGGUUUGCCCUUAGAUCAAAGACCUACGGUGUAUAUUAGAAGGGCAUACCCCUUCGGUUCUUUGACAAGAACCGGCCGUUUAUUUUUAUUAACCGAAUCAUUUUUCCUACAUAGGGGCCGUUUGUUAGUUAGUUUUAGGAGCGCACGGAUACGGCCAAUCAGGGACUGCCACGUAGUCUGUAGCAAUUGUUUUAUUUUUCUGUUUAGUUCCAAAAACAGAAAAGUUCCAAUCUUGUUUAGCCCAUAACUUUUGAUCCAUAAGUCCAAUAGAGUUGAUUUUUUUUCCAGUAGCUCAAAAAGUUCCUGUAGUUUGUAAAAACAUAUAUUUUGUUUGUGUUUGAAACUUUCAAAUUUGAAUUAGAUCAGAUUUAGUUUGAAUCUUGUUUUCCUUAUCCCAGGAGUUUAAAAAUAGAUUUUAAUUUGAUUCUUUUUGCUACUGAUCACUAGUGAUCGUAUUUAUCAAUGGUAGAAAUUUCAGAUUUGUUUGAGUAUUUUAGCUUAUGGUUUAUUGUGAAACAAUUUCUGUUUCACCUCUUUUAGGAUUUCGGCUAAUUCCUUUUCUAUAUUUGUUUUUAAAAUAUUUUCUUUAUUGUUUCAGAAAGAUUAUUGUUUCGUUUAUGUUAGAUAACAGUAGUUUUGCAACAAGUUUUUAUUUUAUUUUUAUUUGUUUUCAUGAAAUCAAUUAUAGUUCCUUAGUAACUUGCAAUUGGUUUCCCCACUGUUUCAAAUCCCGUUUCGAAAUACUUUCAAAUAGUUUUGUGAAAAAUAUUUUAUUUUUAUCUUAGUUAAAUUUAUAUCUUAGUUCCUAGUUAUUAUUUUUCCGUUGGACAAAAACUAUUUAGUGUUUGAUGUAGUAGAAGACUCCUAGUUUUAGUGAAAUUUCUUUCGGAUUCUUAUUCGCUCUCUUGUUUUGAUUGCUAGAAUGAUUGCUAGUAUGAGUGCUUAUGUGAGUGAUAUGUUUUUUAUAUAGAUUUCAUCGGAGAGUGACGAGUAGUCUAUCAAGUUAUUUCUCGAGAUAUUCUUCUUCGUCAACAUCGCCAGGCAAGUCACUUUGAUCAUACUAUCACCAAUGUUUUAUGCAUCGUAGUUCUACCAUCCUAUGCCUAAUUGGAUGCUGAGUAGGUACUUGGAAAUUAUGGUUACAUAUUGUAGUAUCAUGUGGUAGGCACCCAACAACCCCGUUACUUGGCCCGGGACGACAAAUUUAAUAUUGUUAUGCUUGAGUAGACGGGAUUCUGGUUGAGAGUUUAUCACGAGUGAUGCGAGACUACUUUAAUAACCAAGACCGGUUAAGUCAAGAUUUUUCAAGAGCUCAGAACGAAAUGCAUCUCUGGGUGAAGGACGGUUGAUCGGCUCCCUAGAGAAACCAGUGGAUGACCGGGGAUGCUGGGGACGGCCAUGACAUCCUGCGGAAAGCUUCACCCAGGCUCAAAGAGACGGACGGAUAUUUUCAAGACCCAAGGCUUACCUACACAGCCACCAGUCAUUAUGGGCUCUAGCUUGGUUGGACGACGCGGCGACUCUGGACAGGCGGUGCUAGCAGAUGUAGACGAACGGUAGGAAUGGAUGGGCACCGACAGGGAUUCAGAGGGACCCGUUGAAAGACCAUGUUUUGAUCAUCCGGUCUUCAAACACCCUGAAGUGCGAGGACAUACUCGGAGGCGAUCAAAUCUUGUGGGGAACGUGUGCAAAACUCUGCAGAGUACUCAAACCUAAUCGAUUAGCCGUGUCCACGGUCAUGGACAACUUGAGCCAAAGGAACUGAAGUUAUCUGGAUUUCUCAACAACAUUAUAUAUAUUUCAUGAGGGUAAUAUUGAUAACUCGGGUACGAGAACUGGUUGGCGGAACCAUCUCGUUAACAACCAACCUUGUAGUAAUAUUUCGCUUUUAGCCCCUCUUGCUGUAGGAGAAAAUUUGCUUUACGCUAAAAACUUACAACACCACCUGCCAUAUAUGCAUAUAGUAUAGAUGAUUACUGUUCACCCCUCUCUUAUGUGACUUGCCGGCAUAUUCAAUAUGCUGACCUACACGGCUGCAAUGUCUUAUGUUGCAGAUAUUUUUCUUCGACGAGUAAGAGUACGAUUCAGGGAUUAUGGUGUAAACUCAACUUGUCGUUGGUGUUUAUUGGGACUCCACUCCCUUGACUGCUUCCGCUGAGAUAUUUAAGGUAUAUAUCAGUUUUACGCUGUUUACAUGUGAUUGCACUUUGAUAUUGUUGGAGCAUAUAUCUCCAUAUGUGGUUUCGGUACUUGAUGACAAUUCCUAUGGACUAAUGGUUUCCUUAAGUUACAUUUAUAGGAUUUGUCUAUAGGCACUUCUUGAAGUCCAUCUGUUGGGUUCAAGGAGUUUAUAUGAUGACCAAGAUGGUAUUCAAGGUAUUAUCCAAAGAAUGGUCAUAGAGACACAUGGUUGAUCAAGAUCUCAGACAAAGAGUAAAUCAAGAUGAUCAACACACAAAGCGUACAAGAUGUACCGAGAAGGAUCAAGUGAUCCCAUNNNNNNNNNNNNNNNNNNNNNNNNNNNNNNNNNNNNNNNNNNNNNNNNNNNNNNNNNNNNNNNNNNNNNNNNNNNNNNNNNNNNNNNNNNNNNNNNNNNNNNNNNNNNNNNNNNNNNNNNNNNNNNNNNNNNNNNNNNNNNNNNNNNNNNNNNNNNNNNNNNNNNNNNNNNNNNNNNNNNNNNNNNNNNNNNNNNNNNNNNNNNNNNNNNNNNNNNNNNNNNNNNNNNNNNNNNNNNNNNNNNNNNNNNNNNNNNNNNNNNNNNNNNNNNNNNNNNNNNNNNNNNNNNNNNNNNNNNNNNNNNNNNNNNNNNNNNNNNNNNNNNNNNNNNNNNNNNNNNNNNNNNNNNNNNNNNNNNNNNNNNNNNNNNNNNNNNNNNNNNNNNNNNNNNNNNNNNNNNNNNNNNNNNNNNNNNNNNNNNNNNNNNNNNNNNNNNNNNNNNNNNNNNNNNNNNNGGGGUUAGGUGUGUUUCCACGGGCUUGCGUCAAAGGGAAAAUCUCAUAGAACCCAUGGAGUAUGACGUCAAGUUGUGAUCGUCAUCAAGAUUGCGAUGUGCAAGUUCAAGUGGAUCAGCAUGAAGAUAGCAUGCUUGAAGCUUGCAUGCNNNNNNNNNNNNNNNNNNNNNNNNNNNNNNNNNNNNNNNNNNNNNNNNNNNNNNNNNNNNNNNNNNNNNNNNNNNNNNNNNNNNNNNNNNNNNNNNNNNNACCUUCCCUAUUUGGAACCUAUUGCAUGUGGGGCCACCUUGUCAUGUAUGAUGAUGUCAUUUUGUGUCAUGAUUUCAUGUGUGUCCCUUACUACUUCCUUCCCUUCCAUGCAUGCAUAACUUAUCAUGUCUUGCCCAUGUAUUGUGUUGUUGCAAUUUGGUCAUAGCAAUUGAUGUGUUGGUUGUGAUCUUGUGGUUAGGUACCUGGUGAUGCUUGUGAUCUUGUGAUUUCAUGUGGGAUUCUCAUGAGAUGUUGGGGGGAGUAGAAUUGAUGUGGUGGUUUACUUCAAGCCCUUCUCUAAAUCAAAAGACCCUUUUCUCUCUCUUUUGUUCUCAAGUUCAAAUUCUACUUGCUCCUAAGCUAUUUUAAAAAGUGUCUUUUAUUUAGGAAAUAUUGUGGGCAUAUUUGGGGUGCUAAAUUUUGUGUCUUGAAAAGUGUUUUGAAGGUGCAAAUAAACACAAAACAGAAUUUAAAUGCUGUUUUGUAUUUAUUUCAUAUGCCCCAAAAAAUCAUUCUCUUAUUUUAUUUAAUUAGCUUUCUAUUUUUCAGGCCCAGGAACAUUUUCGUUUUUAAUUUAUCUUCUUUGCUUGUCUUCAUGGCCUUUUUCCUUUUCUCUGUGUUUAUUUAAUAGGAAUCUCCAGGGAGGGCUUUUUCCUUUAAGUGACGCUCUGGUGGGCUUCCUCCCACCAGAGAGGCCCAUCUCUCUCGUAGCGCAGCAGUAGCCCAGUGCCACGUUCAUCUCCUACAUGUCGACGUCAGCCAUGGUACGAACCUCGCUCCACCUCCCGAUCGCCUUCCCCCCAAUCCAGCGGCUCAAGCUCGUUCCCCGAGGUGUAUAAAGCCCCCGGUCUUCCUCCUCCUCCGUAGGGUUCCUUCUCCCCCUCCAGUGCGCCGCCACCUUCCUCAUCUCUCCUCCUCCCCGCAGGUAGGCUGCUGUAGACAGUAGCAGAGAGAAGCAGAGAAGGUGCCCACGUCUACCCCGAGUCCGCCAUGUCCAGGAGCUCGGGGUUCGACCCCGCGUCCAUUCCCGUCGUCGGUAGGGUCGGGGAGCGACCACACCGACGAGCUCGACCUCGUCAGCGCCUCGGCCCCGGUGCACUUCGUCACUGCUUUGGUCUACGGCAGGAUCUCCCUC